ensembl:lncRNA
GGUGGCGUAUCACAUGAUAGAGCACAUUUCUUGCUAACAUUUCUGGGGAAAGAAUGGGGAGGAUUAUAUAACACUGAAGCCUGAAGAGCUGUUUUGAGUUUAUGUUGAGUUUUGUUUUGGUUUGCUUUUUGUUUUACUCACGGGGGAUCAAAAAUAAAACUUCAGAGAGGAAUUACCCCCAGACUGUGAGAUGUUUGAAAUCAGUAAUAGAUUAGUGUCCAGAAUUUAUUUGCAGCUCACUCUCAGUAUGCAACAGUGAGGAAAAUAGCUUUGACAUUGAAUGGGGCAGAUUAGGAAAGUUCUGCUGUCAUCUUUUAAAAAUUAAAUUUGAGCAAGUUUUGAUUUGUUUCUUUAAUGAGUUGCUGCUACGUUGCGUGUGUCAGUGUAUGUAGCUAUAUGGUUUGUUAUUAUGAGGUCAAAUCCUGACAACUCACUGCAAAAUAGUUUUAAUUUAUUAUUAAUAUUUUUGUUAUUCUCACUUCUCCUGGUUUUGGAGCCUUUAUAAUUAGAUAUAAUUAAAACCACAGGUUUAUCAUUCCACUCUAACAUUUAAACUCGUAUUUAUGGUGUAACCCCCGGAGUUUUAUUGUCAUUCCAACUGUAUUUUGAAAAAAAGAAAAAAAAAAAAAAAAAAGCUUUUUUGCAUUUACUCAACUGCUUUGUCUGUAACUACCACAUCUUAAUCAUUUGUUUUGCACAGUAAAAUGACAUUUUGUUUUACACGGUACGAAGCCUUACAGGUUUCAGAGUAGCUAUUUCAUAUCCCUUAACAAAUGAGUGCAAGGGACCUUUUGCCUCGUGCACUUUAAAAACAGCUUUCCUCUUUUGGAACUUGUCUUUCUGCUCCUCCAUGCAACAGUCUGAAGUGCUACAUGCUGGAGAGCUGAUUUGUACAAAAAAUGUUGGCUAGCAUUAUGUAAAACCACCAUUUUCCCUUUUGGUGCCUGUGUUCUGGUCCUAGCAGUGCCCUUUUUUUACAGAAAUUAACGUUUUCCCCCUCACGGUCAUUGAUACGUGAUGGUGUUUUUCUGUCUUCUUUAAUUGUGUUGCUUUUUUUUCUUUUUCCAUUAGUAUAAGGUUGAUUGUUAAAAUUAAGUGGCAGAAGGCUUCUUUCCAAGUUAUUCAGAUAUGUUUUUCUUUUUUUUUUUUUUCUGUAGAAAUAUAUUUUGCUACUCUCAAUUGCCUUUUUCCCCUUCUUCUUUCAUUGUAAAAUACUCCGGGAAGAGCUUCUUUUAACCAAAAAAAGAAAAAAGUAGAAGAAGAAAAAAAAAAAAGGCUACGCUUGACUGAUAAUGCAUUGCUUUGGAUGGUGAAACAUUAUGAAAGUUUAAUUUUUAAUUAAAUCUGAAAUACCAAUUAUAACUGAAAGAGAUUUUAACCUGUUUCUUUUCAGACUGCCUGAAGUUACAUUGUAGAUGCUGAAAUCACUGCACCUUAAAAACAAAAAGAUUAAGCUGCACUGCAUUCUUAUGUAUUCAUCAACUAGAGGGAAUUUCUAAUGGACAACAUCACACAAACCUGAGGAAUGCAGAGAGAGGACGCUGAGGAGCCAAGAAAUCAAGUGAUCAAGAGGGUUUGGAUUUACAUUAAUGUGUCAUCCUGAUGGAAAAUACAACUUGAUUAGAAAUGAGAAAUCCUUGACUCAACAGGUAGGGCUCCUGCCCAUACUGAUUUACGCUCACAAAUGGCACUGGAAUGUGCUGUUGAAUUUGUUAUGGUGCUUCAUGGCUAUAUGAUACUGACCCCAAGAAUGAUGCUAUUUACUCUUUCUUCUUGUGGUGCAACUUGGCAUGUUAGUAAUUCUUGGCCUUUCUUUUCCUUGUGUGCACAGUUAAGGAAAUACUGUUCUACAUGGCUACCUCUGCCCUUACUCUGAUCAUGCUUGCAAUUCAAGAAGAUGUUUGUUUGCUAUUAUAUACAGGUCUACCAUAGGAUCUUUAAAGCUAGCUGUAGUAAUGUUUAGAUGCUUGGCUCUAAGGGGAUUUGAAAGCUCAGAGGUAGCAUCUUUGUCUAGUGCUUGGGAAGUGCUGAGGGCAAAGGGAAGAACUGCUGGGUGGAGUGCUGCUUAGAGGAUAAAGCUUGGUGAUCUUUCCAUGGGUGCAGUUUCUUACCAGCAAUUAUACUGAAACAGGAAGGAUCUUGUCCUCGUUUCAAUCCUUGGUGUCCUGGAGAAUUUCAGAUGUGUUAGGUAAAUUUUACUCUAUGAAAUUAUCAGCUGUUAAAACACAUUUUACAUCUCCAAUCCUUUCAGUAGCGGGAGAAAGACAUAGAUUUCCCCUGGCUUCUGAUAGUGGAAAACAUUUCUGAUGUCCCCGCAUUGUCAGACUGUCAGGGGCACCGCUAUGUGAUUAUCGUUAUUGUGAUUUAAUUACAUUUAAAAGCAUUUACUUUCUAAAAAUCUUUUACACUCUCUCUGUCAUAAUGUUUAGAAUGUAUCUAUACCAUACAGUAGUUAUUCUUUAAGGCUUCUUAUGCCUAGAAAAUCUUGUAAAAGAAAUAUUCUGUGCAGUAAAGUAGACAUUAUUUAAUGCUGAACUAAUAUUUCGAGCUGCAUUGUGAUUACACAUGGAGGCAUUUGUGGAAGUCUAGAAGGUAUGAUGGACUUUUUCUCCUGACUUUUCCCUGAUGAGAUUGUAGGGAUCACAAAUAUCUGUCUUGCAAUACACUGAGUUUUGCUGCCAUGGCUCCUUGACCUUUAUCCCACUGUCUAAAUGGGGUAGGACUUUACCUGUAACUCAGUCCCUACUGCUACCCAGAGACCGUGGUAGGUGAGUGAAAUCUGGGGUGGCACCCCAUGUGAAACCUGAGAAGUUAUGCAAGCACGAAAUCUUAAGAACUCUGCACACCAUUUCUUUAGUGAGUACAAACAUUUUCAGAUCUCUGGUCUUACAGAUGAAGUAAAACCCUCACCCCAGUAAAGUUGGGAUUUUUCUAGAUUCCUUUCAGCAUAGCCAGGUUACAUUGCAAAUGUAUGUGCUUGAGCUGCCCAACUCCAUAGGGUAGGUUCUGGUAAGCCUCAUGCGUUGCACGCACAGAUUUUCCCACCUCUCCAGCCAUGCUGCCUGGAUGGACAGGUGCUUACUCUGCUGUGUUGUUGGCCUUGAGAUAAAGGAGAAAAUGCAGAUAUUUACCUAGUUGAUGCAGAGAAAGAGUUCACAGCAGAAAAAUAUGUGAUGCCUUCUUUAGAAAUAAGUUGGGUUGUUGGUUUUUUUUUUUUUGGUGUUGUUUUUUUGUUGUUUUGGAAACGAGUAUAUUUAGAUGUUGUUUAAUAAUAAAAGAAACAUAAAAAUUGUCAUAUACAUGUUUUAGCCCAGUAGUGGUCAAAUGAAGGUUUGUUUUAUUUUUAAUGUCAUAAUUUUACAUUGUUUGGAAUUCUUUUGUGAAGGUUCCUAAGACUAUAUCGGUUAGAAAUUAUUCCCCUUUCUCACCUUAUCCAUCUUUAUUAUCUAAUGAAACAGUUUUCUUCUGUGGAGCUGAGGAGCAACUGGCAAAUUCCAUGCGUAGUUCAGACAAACUGGUCCUCUGCGAGGCUGGGCUGUGCUCCCACUUGUGAUGAAACCAGGUGUAAAAUCCCAGUCCCUGCCUCAGUCUGUUUUUUCUGCUCCUCUUAGCACUGAUCUGCAAAUGGAGACUCCCGUGCUGAUAAUUUCAGUGUGGAGUUUUCAAAACUGAGUGAGUGUGUGCUGGCCUGUCUUUGUUUAAAUUUAGAAGAAUUGACGGAGCUCAUUCCUAGAGUCUGUAAUCCCAGUCUUCAUGCUUAAAACUAGCUCAAGCAUUCUGUGUAUUUGCAAGUCUAGUGCUAAUUUGUGUGCUUCUACUGACAAUAAAGAUGGAUGGUUUCUAUUGUCCUUUCAGUAGGGCCUCUCAUUACUUCAGUGGGAUUUUUGCUAUUGGUCCAUUUCUGUGUUUUUGUCCAGUUCACUACUAUCUCUUCAAUGUUAAGCUUCUUCCAUAGUUCAUUCCUUACUGGCCACUUCCUGAAGAACUUUAGGUUAUGGUAGGACUGCAGUUGGACAGAAAGCAAUAAACUGUAAGAAGCUAAACAGAAAAUGUUAAUGCAAAUCUUACCUAGUGCAAAUUACAGGGACUGCUGUUGCACACAGCUUCCUCUACUGCUGGGCUAACCAUCACUGAUAGUUUGCUAGUCCAGGCUAAAAUGAGCCCUUCGCUGCCCUGUAGAUCUCUACCAGAAGAGAAGAAAACAAAUUGUGUCCUCUUGCCUCUCUGCUCUCCCUACUUCAUAACUACAACCCCAACUAUCUUGUCAAAGAGAAGUUUUUUUUGUUUUUUUUUUUGUCUGGGAAAAGGGUAACAUAUCACUACAAUAUCUUCCGAACAUAUCUCUUUCCUGAGGAUUUGGUAUAGCACGGAAGGUCAUGUUUUACCUUCAGGCCCUGUACAAAUAGAAGUAGCUUGCACAGUGAGAUAGCAAGAUGUGAAAUUAAAGAGGGGCAAAUGUACAUUUACUUUAUAUAUAGUCACUUUAUUCAGGCAUAUUGUUUUUCUUUGGACUGUAAAAAUAAAAGUUGUAUCAAUUUAAAAUUUGUGAAGAGAAAAUCAGAGGUUUUGUUUGUUUGUUUUGUUUUCUAUCUAUUGUGUGGUCUUGUUAUUUUUUGCUUAAUUUCAUUACCUACAAAUAGUAGUGAUGCAUGACACUGCAUGGUAAUCUGUUUCUUGGACUGGAAGGGGCACGAGUUUAAGAAAGGUAAAGGUUCAGUGGGUACUAAAGUAAUGCUUAGUGGCUGUGCUUCAGUGAUACAGAACAGUCUUUCUACAGGGACAAGUAAUAAUGCAAAUACAAAAAUAUAGAACAAUAUGAAGGCUUACAUCGAAACCUUGAUGGAUUCAUUUCUGACUUCUCAAUUCUGUGGAAAAGCUCAGUGUUGCUUCUUUUUGAAUUCUGACUUCGAAAGGAAAUGAGAAGUCAAACUUUCUGAUUUUACUUGUAUCUCUAAAAUGCAACAAAAGGCUCAUUAGCUUACUAGCAGAAGGAAAGGAAUGUCCAAACUUUAAACCUCCAGGCUCAUUAAAAAAAAAAAAAAGAAAAAAAAAGAAAAGAAAAUAUCUGGGAUCUGUUGCAUGUUUAAAUGCUGUAAGUAUGAAUUUUGCCAUGCUACAAGCUGCAUCUCUCUCUGGUUUUCCGACAAUGUUUUUGUAUCCAGGUACAUCUGAUUUUCUGUAUUCUGUUGGAUGUUGGAUUUCAAACAGAAUUAAGGUGAUCACCUCUCUUUUUGCUGACAAAGGCUACUAUAAUAGAUAGAUGAGUAUUUGUUGUGAGUGCCAGGAGGAAUGACUGUUUUGCGGACAGAUAUUGUAGUAGACGGAAGUAUUGAUUGGGUUUCAUUGUAGUAAACAUCGCCAGAUGUUAUCUCAGUGUGUACUGUUUAUGUUAGUAAAUAAAUAAAUCCUCCAGAGCACAAUUAUUCUCUAUAAUGUUUUUUCAAAAGUUUACUAUUUUCUCCUUCUGUAUGUCUAAGUGAACUUCCUCUGCUCUCUGUGCAGCUUGAGAAACCAAUUAGAACAUGUGAAACUGAUUGUAAAAUACAAAUCCUGAUCUAGACUCAGAUAUUAUGUCAAGGCUGGGUCUGGGAUCUGUAUAUGCCAGCAUCUUGUCUUCGGGUACUCUUUCUUCAUCUGAAACGUUCUCUCGUAGGAAAUAUAUGAACUUCCCCCCUCCCUACUGUUUAUGUUAUCAACCAUGCUGGUAAACACCUUGUCAUGGUUAACACCUGUGUUCUCUGACUCUUGGCAGACUCUCAAAGCUGAUGGGUCACUUGCUAUACAAAAUGAUGAGGUUCCAACAUGGGUGUAGUCACUGAAGAAAGCUGUUAAAUCCCAGUGCUUAUAAGCUCAGUGUGUUAGUUAUUAAAUAAGUUAAACCAGCUCUCAGAAGAGAUCUCAGCUUUCUCAGAGGUUAAGACUCAUGAGAGCCCAGAUUUACUCUUCAGACUGCAGAUGGACAGUGUCACAUUGCAUAGUAGUUCAAUGUGAGAGAUGCACAGAACUCCUGCUUCUGUGCUUUUCUAGCACUACCUUUUUUCUUGCAAGUGGCAUGGCAGAUUGAAGCAUACUUAGAUUUUGCAUUCUCUUGAUCACUGGUAUAAUCUGCUCUCCCAGUAACACCAAGCAAGUUCACAAGAGGUUUUUGAAGUGUAGUUAGUACCCAUAAAACUUCGUGUUAAAUGAGAGCUGAAGUUAUCUACUGGGUAUUCUGAGAGUGAUCUCUUUUUGUUUUUGGUAAAAUUCUAUCUGUUGGGCUGAAGUACUGUUUCCAUGCUUCAGUAGAUUUAGCCAUCUUGUAAUUUAUGGCUUCAAGUAAUGUGUAUUUCCACAGACAUCCAAGUUCCCUUGGCAAAUUGGUUCGCUCUGGAGAUUCCCCAAAACAGACUUCAAACAGCUUCUGUAGGUUUAAAAAGAUGCAGUGUGUAUAUGAAUUCUCUGCUGUGGACCAGCAUUAAUAACCUAACAUCUCCUAAGUAAAAUAAUCUCUCUCUAUAUCAGAUCUUAAGUUUAAAUUCAUAUAGAAGAUGUGCUUUCCCCCACAAGUAAUUAAUAGCAUUGUUGGCUGUUGUUUCUGUUUCUUCCAGUUUAUCAGCUGAAUUUAGUUGUACUUAUUCUCUGUAUUUAGAUACCUUUAGAAUUCUUUCAUUGAUUUUACUAGAGCUCCUGUGAUGGAAGCAUAAACAAGUUGUAUGUUUGUUUAUGUAUUCACAGGUAUCCUUAUAAAACUUUGGCUAUUCCUUUUAAAAUAUUUUGUGAUUGUGGAAAAAGACAUCAAACCCACAUUUGUUCAAUUAGAAAAAAUGAAUAGAUAGCAAAAGAAAAGGAAAAUGUCUCAACUUCUCACCUAUUAUUUCACAUUGUAUCUAUGAAUACUUCAAGUGAUGUCUCUGAAAACAUUGAAGAGAGCUACUUGUUUCUCCAAGUCCCUGUGUAGCAUGUGGAAUAUUUGUCCAUUUAAAAUGCAGUUCUGUUCCUCAUCUUGCUUCCCUUUGCAUAAAGUGCACGUCCAAGCAGCAUCCACUGAAGGAACAAUUUCAAGCUGCAUGCAAACGUCUCAUCAGCUGUGCAUUUUUCCUGUUUCUAAGGAAUAAAGAUCAUAAGUGUGAAAUGAAACAUAACAGGGAGGCACUGGAGUGCAGAUCUGAAGGUAGAAUUUGCAUUGGCUACACUUCAGCACAGAUGGUAGGAAAUCUUAAAUCUACUCGAGUCCUGAGACCUUUAGCCCCUCAGGUUAGCAAACGUAUCUAAGGGAGGAAACUGGUGUAAGUAGUUCCUGAGGGACUCUGAUGAUUUAUGCUCCCUAGAAGAAAGAGCCACGGGGAAUAUGCCUGAGCAUCACUGUUUUGUUGGCUGUAGUAGGAUUUUUGUUUAGUGCAACAGCUUUCCUAAUCAUCAGUUAACCAGUCAUGUCCAUAAUAAAGUAAAAGGUGCAACACAACCCUCCUCAGGGUUAGUAUUCUGCAAAAUCAAAUGCCUCAGUUGUUCCUCCCAUCUAGGCAGGAGAAGUAGACCAGAGAAUAACCAAAGCUUGUGGUUACUGUCUGUGCCCCCUUUGAUUUUAAGGGGUGAGGAAUGCAUAAGCUUGCUGCACAUCCUCCUCAGUAAUUGUGAUAGAAAACAUUUGUGUAAUUCUCCUGUCCUCUGCUCUUGGCUCUGAAGUGAAACAGGGACUUCCUAUCAAACCAGAAGCUUUGAAGAAAAUUUAGGACUCCUGAUCUCUUGGAGAAACAGUUCACAUUUCAGGUAAAUGGUGCAUCUCUUAGUUGAUUUGACUACAGGGGGGCUGGUUUGUUUCCUGUUUGAUAUAGAGAGAGAGCUGUACUUCUCUGUUCAUGCUGCACAUUUGUAUGCACCAACCCUGUCUUUUAAUGGAAAGUUCCCACAAUAAAGUGGGAACUCUUUGUCAUGGACCAGUUUAGUUUUUUGGCAUCUCCCUACGUUACUGUGUGCAGUGAUGCUAGUUAAUGCUCAUUGAGGCAGUGGGUUUGUGAUGCUGGUUUUUGGCCUAAAGUGGAUUGAGAUUCAUAAAAAAAUAAUCUCAAAUCACAAAGCCACCAUGGGAUUUUUAUAGCUUCUGUGACUAUCUCACUUGGGCUAGAUUUGAAUCAGCAAUCAGAGGUGAACGGUUUUGUUCUUAUCCCACUACCAAUUUCCUGAGCUAACAUAAUCUAUAUGUAUGUGUGUGUUACAAAAUUUUAUUUUCCAAUUGAAUGCGUCCAUCUUUUGAAAAUAGGUUAAAAAACAAAAGACAAAAUGUAAAGGAAAUUUACCUUCCAAAAAAUACAGAGCAGUUAUCAGGACUUUAAAAUAUAUGUAAACAUCAGUUCCUGCCAAGUUAGUCAUUACUAAGAGUUAACAACACGGGGGAUUGAUUGAGAGAAUGAUUGUUGCUGUAGAAUGAUGAUUUAAUAAGAGAAUAUCUGAUAGAUUUGACAUGCUACAUAAAAUGUGCAGAACGGUUAUUCUUUGGUAAAUUGCAACUUUCGUUUGUACCCCUUACAGCCAUGUUUGUUCUGUGCCUUGCCACAUUUACCUUCUUCCCUGUUAUUCUCUUUCAUUUCUAUAAAUCAUUAGUAUUCACCAUUGUUAGACAUGUCAGAAAAAAGGCACACACCAUUUCCCUUCCCCUUCUUGCCUUCUUUUACACCUUCACCCGGUUUGUUUUCCCAUAGUCACCUACCAGCUCUGUUGUUCAGGAGGGCACUGCCAGAUGUCUUGCUCUCCAUUUUGAAAAGAUGGCUACUGAGAACUCAAUUUUAUUGCCUCAUGCUACUGCUUUUUUUUUUCAUGCACACCCAUUUCUCACUGUUCUGGCUGAUUACUAUCUAUCCAUUGCUUAGUCCUAGCAACACGCUUGGUGCUUUAUAAGUCAGAAAAUGAAGGCUGUCUUGGCUCUAAGUUGUUGUUUUACAGGACGAAUAGAUGAAAAAGCCCUUCUAUUGUUCCCAUCUUUAUGGAGGAGCCGGGCUCUGUCCUAUUUUUCAGCAAUAAUUUAUGAGAGGUUACUUUUUCUGAAAUGCCCACUACCUCUGUGAAGAUCCUAUUGCAAGUGUUGCCAGCAUGCUUAGUCUUUCGUAAAGCCUGGUGGUGUGUGCAGGCCAUGCUCAGGUAAUAGGAAUCACCUUGAGGUAAGCUUUUAUACCCUUUUCCAGCAUAUAGGGUAUGCUGAAGUCAGAGUCUGGGCUAAAAAGGGUCUUCUACUUGCUUCAGAAAAAUGUGGGGCUAUCCUUGCUGCUUGUACUGUAUGAACAAUAAUAAUUAAAAAAAAAUAAUCCUAGAGUCUGACUACAACAAAUAAAUUCCAAAACACCCUCUGCACUAUUUCUGUUGUUGUGCCAAAGAGCAUAACAUAAAAUGACUGAGAAUAACAUCAAUUCAAAACAACAGCACACAAUAGUGUAAUUUGACCCUAAGCACAUUAAAAAAAAAAAAAAAAGGCUUAAAAGAAACAGGAGGAAAAAGGCAAAAAUGGGACUGUGGACUGGCAUUACAAACAGUGUCAUGAAACUACAGCCAGAGGUAUAAGCCUAGUAGAAAGAAAAAGAGAAGGGGGUUGGGGGGCGAGUUACUUAUGAAUCAGUACAACUGUGCUUUGUUCUGCAUGAGUGUUUUAAUAGAGCAAGUGUAAUAUAAGGAUCAGGUGGGCUCAUGGGAAUGGAACAAAAGGUUUUGUAAAAUUAAAGCAAAAUAAUUAUAGCUCUAGGUGUAGAGUGAGCACACUCCAGCAGUUGAUAGCAGGAACCUGUUCAGAAUGGAGAAGGGAGGAGGGAGAAAGAUGCAGUUAGAAAGCUGUUUUUUUUUUUUUCCUUUUUAGUAUUUUUGUAAAUAUACAUACACAAACAUACCUAAAAUAAACAAAUGUAUAUAUGUAUGUUAGCGAAGACUUUUAAUCUGUGGCAGUUGCAAACAACUUUAGAAGUGAUUAAUAAUACCCUCACACAAAAAUGCAUUAAAAUGAAAAUUUAAGGAAUAGUCUCAAAUGAAUUAAUUAGCAAAAAAAGAAAAAAUAAUCUCAGCAGAUCACUCUUUUUAGUGGAAUAGAGGACUAGAACCUAAAACAGGUGUGAUCCUAUGACAUGAGAUUCAAGUAUGUUCUCCCUGUAAAAGCCCAACAAGGAAUAUAUAGAAAGUGCUAAGUGCACCAAUUAAUUAAGCUCAAUGAUACAGAAGUGGAUGUGAUCUUCUGGGUGCCACAGGAAGGAUUUCAGCAAUACAUUGUGUUAAAGGAUUUCCCACAUUUGGGCAAAGCAUUCUUGCAGCUCUCUUGCAGGAGAGCUGUUUCCUACCUGAAUUUAAGAGCAGUUUUACCUGUAAGAUGGCAGCUAGGUUGAUCCUAAGGUAGCCUCAACGUGUCUGGAUUUUUGCUUUUACUUUCCUUUGCCGUCUGUGUACGUAUGUAUGUAUGUAGUAAGGAUGCUGUGUAAAGGUAACUCUCUCACCAAAAGAACUUCUGCCCCAUAAUCACAGCCCUUUUCGAGUUGUUGGCUGUCUUCAAUGAUGUGACAAAAGAAAUACUGGGAAGGCACUACAGGUGUGCAUGUUUCUCUUUCUAGGUAAGUCGUGUUAGGUUCAAAAUGUCUGGAAUCUGUCCCGGUUGUGGGCAGUGACUUCCAAACAAAUACCUUACUUUUCUUUGUGUGUAUAUGAAAAGAAUUAAUGAACACCAGUUGCCUUGAUUCUACAUGGCACCUGUGGGUGAGGAUGGGCUCCUUCCUUCCUGUGUGCUGUUAUGUAGAGUGCUACAAGGAAAGCAAGUGUAAAUCGGUGCAUAUGUCCUGUGGAAAGGAUCUGGUUUUGUCACAGAGCCACAACAGCUUCCCCCUGUGGUGGAAGGCUUGUGAUGGGCACAGCUAUUCCCACCUGUCCGCACCGUGAGAGGCAGGCAGGCUGCAGCAGGGAGGUUGUGAGGCGGCCACGAGCUGUGGUAGCAGGCCCAGCUACUACAGAUGGCUGGCGCGUGAGAUAAGGCCCUGGCAAGGAAGGGGGCCGAUCAGCCCACCUCCCACCACAUUUCCACUUCUUCUGUCAUCAGAUUUCCCUUAUUCAGAGUUUGCUCAGGAUAAUUGUUCACAGACAAUAUAUUUUGUGCUCACGCUGUAAUCAGAGGCUGUUGUCAGUUGGAGCAGAGCGCAUCUCUUAGGUGGUGCUUUCUGCCAGAACGUGGAGGCUGAGAUCAGAGUGAAGCUUUACGAGCUCCAUUUGGUGCUUUUUACUUCCGUCUUGUUUCUCUCUCUGCAGGGGAUGUGAAACUAGAUUUGUCCUGUUUCCACAGCAGGGUUUUGGUUUAUUUUGUUUUUCCAUAGCAUUUCAUUCAGUGGCGCAAAUCCAGAGGAGACUGUGUUGCAGAGAUGGAUUUGAAUGUCAGACAGAAAGAGUUGUGUUUAAUAAACUCUUUGUUGUAAAUUAUAGAAACUAGAGAGCAGGAGGCCUGUGUUUAAUACAAACAUUCUGUGGUUAAAUUAUCACUUUAGACGUUUACCCCAUAACAUAAAGAGCGAUGAAAAAAGGAAACUUUGCUAGAGGGGUUUCUUAAGGGUAUGAAGCUGAAGACUGAAAUUCCUUAGUUAUGGGCAGUCAUCUUUAACUCCCUCUGCCUUCUGUCUUUUAUUUCCUCUGAAACCUAAAUUGAUUAUCAUAUAAUCCACCCUGAAAUUGAGUUCCUAAAUCUCCUCUUUGUUCCUAUAAGAGGUCUGUGGCAAUAGGAAAGAUCGGGAGUGUUAAAGAGUAACCAAAAAUCCCAUUUACCCCCUGAUUGUUCAGUAUUGUGUCCCACUUGUAUUCCUUCUUCUGUCUUUCAUCUUAGAGGUGGCAGCCUAACAAAAUUUGAGUGACAGUAUGGGACUACUUAAAAGAAAAAGGCAAAAAAAAUAAACAAACCCCAAAACUGUAGUAGGCUUUCAGGAAAAAAAUAAAAUAAAAGGUGCUUUAGCAUUAUAAUAUGGUAUUUGAAGAUGACAGCCCAACACGCAAACAGUUGAAUGUGCAUCUCCCCUUAUACAUAAUGACUUCUGCUUAUCUCCCGUGCUCACCAGCUUUUGAAAGCUCCUUUCUGUUUCUUAUAGCAUGAGUUACGUAUCUGUGUUGAUAUCAUUUCAGAGUGAUUUGUCAACAUGAACCUAUUGUGAAAUUAAAGGUCAGUAGCAGGCCAGGCAUUUGACAGGGUAGGCAAUGCUCACUGGAAAGGAAGAGAUCAAGAAUAACACAUCAAAUCCCAAAUCUUCAGAUGUGCCUCAUGACUAGUGCAUUUUGCUGUUUAGGAACAGAGAAGCUUCAGAGUAGAGCUCUCAUUCACAGCGAGACAAUAUGCCAGUAUCUGUCACAGUCUAAGUCCUUGCAACACUAUUGAAGUAAGAGAAUUCGAGUCCCAGAUUCUUCAAUUCUUUUAAUUUUCCUUCUUGUUAUUUGAGUAAAUCCAGCAUACAUACAUGCACAAACAUACACACACAGAUGUACUGGUUUUUGUUUUCCAGAGCAUGGACAUAAAAGUAAUAAAAAUAAAGCAGAAUCAUGGUUUUUUUUUUGCUUUUUUUUUUCCCCUUUGUCCUUUUAUUUUCUGGCAAAAGGUACUUCAUAAGUAGUUUAUUUUCCAGCUUCAUUUUCUUCCAUUUACUCUCUGCUAGGAAAAAAGUCUAAAGGAUUAAGACAGAAACAACCCCGUAUUAUAUAAGUCAAUAAAUAAGCAAAAAGUGUUCCAAAUUGCACUCAAAAAAACAAACAAACAAACAAACAAAAAAACAUUCUACUUCUCCUCAGAAAGAACUGAUGCAAUGCUAUUCACAUUUCCCUGCUUUCCUUCCAUCUAUUUUGGAAUUCAAUGAACAGUAACGUACAGACAGCAGUAAAGACUGCUAUCCUUUUCUUUGUUCUUUCAUCUGAUUCUCCUGCUCCCAGUCUGUAGGAGAAUGAAUCUAGUCUGGCUAGAGAAUUUGCACCUUGCUUUUCUCAUAAGGAAGAUGAAGUUUUUUAGAUAACAGUAGGGACAAUUUCUGGUCUCAUUGAAGUCAUUGGCAGUUUUCCAGAUGAUUUGUUAUGAGAUUUGGCCUUGAGAAAAAGGAUCAGUCACACUCAUCUCCUUUUUAUUCUGAACUAGAAUGACCCAUAUCACUACCCAGUGAUGGCUGCCUAGGAUACUAGCAGUGAAUUUUUGGAAAAUGAUCAAAAGUUCAAAUAUAUGCAAGAAUGCAUGAAACCCACUGUCUAAGCAACCAGAGAGAAUGCAGUUGGCCUCAGCAAAAUACAUGAUUAAAUAGAACCAAAUAAAGCUGGAAGCUUGUUAUGAAAGAUCAUCUAUAUCCAUUUUAUUAUUUGUCUGUAGAAAUUGUGUUAGGAUGAGGCCUGGAACAGUCAUUUCAAACCUAAAUGUAAGUAUGCAUCUUCCUGCAUUCUCUAAAAUUUUUUGGUUGCAGAGCACUAUAAAUGGUGCAAAACAAAGUCUCUUUUCCAAGCUCCCUACAGUGAACAACUUAAGAACAUUUAGUUUUAGCCGGUUUUAGGACUUUAUGUCCUCAGAGAAUAAAUACUGCCCCUUUGAUCUCCAGAUAUAAAAGUCACUAUUUCCCAGGAGCUGGAGAAGAUCUGGGGCCCAGGAGCAGAGACAGAGACAAAAAAUGGGAGCCUGGCAGCUCUGGUCCAUUCCCAGUAUUGCUGCUGACUCCAGUAAUUGGAAAAAAAGCUAUCAGUGAUCCCCAGUAAUCCCUAUUUCUGAAAUGAAUUUAAGAGUACUCAUCUGUUUUAGCAACAUUCAUUAAGGAAGGAAACAAAGUAAUGUCAAAUAAAUAGUCAGUACUCUCUGACCUUACCAUUAACUUCUUUCACAUUUUUAUGAAAGCAGGUAGUUUGCAAAGUAAAUUCACAAGCACCUGAUUUUGUGCGUCUCUGUCCUUUGCGGUGCCCUUUCCUAUGGGAGAGGGGAAGAUGAAAAACGAGACUUGAAUCCAACAGUUUUCCUUGUGUAUUGGAGGGGAGACGCGGAAUGCGGGAUGGCAGGUCAAAGAGAAUAUAAGAUUGCAUUACAAUACAGCUGUGUCUGCAUUUGAAAGCAUUUCACUAACAUGUUGUUAUCCAGAGUUUUCCCUUUCAACAUUUCUUGUAGGAGGUGAAUUUUCCAGUUGGUUUGGCUUUGCUGUCAAAAAAGUCAAGCUAAUUUUUUUCUUUCUUCUGAUUAAGUGAAUAAAAUGCUAAGAGUAAUUAAGCCAAGGAUCUGUUUUUUUUUUUUUCCUCUUUAAUUUCUAACCUAAUAAACAAACUGCUUGUAUCCAUCUUUAUAGAGAGAUUUUAAAACCACUACUGAAAGUAUGCUGUAAAAACACCCUUUCUCACUUGAGAGACAAAAUCGCUUUGAUGACCCUCAAACCUUGUGUGUUAAACUCACAAGUAGAAAUCAUGUUUUUCAUUAUUCCUGUUACCUCAAGGUUACUUCAGGGCUAAGGUUUCCUGUGAAGAUCAAACAAGAGUUGUGGGUUUUUUUUCAUCCUGUCUUGCACAUCCUCACUUAUGUCCAGAUUAUGCCCUCUGAAAGUACUAAGCGGCAGUCUCUGUGGCCUUGGAGCUGGAGGGAGGAUUGUUUGGUGUUUUAAAGGCUCUGAUCAGCAGACCAAGAGAAAUCUGUUUUUUUUCUUGUUUCUGGCUCUGUAACCUUGGAAAAGUCAGUAUGUCUGUGACUAUGUUCCCCAGCUGCAAAGGGCAGGGGGAUGCUAUUUCCUUGCUGCAUAGAUCCUUUGAAGAUAAACCUGCUCUUGGAAAUCAGUUGUAAGCACCAGAAAAUACAUAUGUUAGUCAGGUUUCCUGCAUGUGCCCCGAGUGAGGAUGUUUCUCUCCCAUUGCCCAGUCCUGGAGAUCUACCAUGCUUGAAGGCACUCUGUGCUCAUUCCUGAGUGUGCCUUGUCAGCAGCUACUUUAGGAAACAUCUGCUUCUCCCAACACUGUUUCCCCCGCUGUUGAAUAGGGCUGUUGACAUACAAGAGAGGUCUGCAUGCUCCUCUCAUGCUUGAAGGUGGUUUGCCCAACCUGACUUAGUACUUGGGAGUUUUUGAUCCCCUUUGUAGGGAGAAAGGAGUUGUUUUAGAGCUCUAAUGGAACAUUUUUUCCAUUAUUUAUUUUCUGCAAAUGUUCAUGUUCCCGAUGAACUUCUUUUUGAAAUGUUUUGCUGGAGCCUUAUCCACAUAGGCUGAUCAUAUGUGCCCCAGAUAUAAACAGGAAGAAAAGGUUUCCAGUUCCAUCUGCUGCAGUCUAGAACAAUUUUAUCCACCAUUUGCUGAGAGAAAGCAAUUCUGAUUUAAAGGGCAUGUAAGCUGUGUUAUUAGUCUGAUAGGAUAAUGUAUUACAUUCUUUUUUCCUAGUGAAUUUUUAAACCUGAGCUGAAAAUAAGUGCAAUUCAUGAGCUGUAAGUAAAGAUGUAAAAAAACCGGAGGAAGAAAAAGAAAUUGGAAUUUACAUUAAUAGCAUAAACUGAGCACCUGGACAGUUGGUUAAAACCCCUCCAGAAAGAAUCUUCGACCAAACACCCAGCCAGCUCUUUUCCAGCAACUUUCAGCAGAGGUAAAUGGGAAACCCCACCAAACAAAGAAACAACAACAACAACAAACAGCCAAUUUGUGGAUGCAACUGCUUCACCAGGGCUCUGAAUUCCUUUACCUCUUGGUAACAGUGUAGACCACCCAGGUGGCUCCUACUGCUCACCAACCAGCUGAAGCUCUCCCUCCUCAAGCUGGGCUGCUGACAGACCCACCCUUGUAAAUUUGGUGUUGGUAGUAGUGGAUUCUGGCAGAAGGAGCUCAGGUUUGUGUCAGGGUCAGCAGCUGGCCUGUGGAUUUCAGUAGGUGUUUACUGGAUAAAGGCACAGCAUCUAGCACCUGAAUUUUAAUUCUCCUGAGCCCGCUGAAUCCUUUGUUACUCACUUACCAUUCCUAAACAUGGAUGGCAUUUGCUGGAUGUGCUUGCCUUUUCCUCAAAAUUAGCAUUUUCUUUUAAGUUUCCUAUUUUGAGUUCUGUUUUACUCUUUUGUAGCAGCUGGAAGAGCCCAGCUAUAGCUGGCACGUGGUGGUGACCCAUUGCGUGUAGUGCUGAGAGGCAGAACUGUGAGGAGAUGGCUUGGAGGUGCCGGUACCGCCAAGCUUUGUGGCCCCCCCAGAAAGCACCAAGGCGUGCUGCGAGGCAUGCUGAGAGAGAUGUUUCUUGCAAGAAACCACCAGAGGAAGUCUGUCUAGUUUCAGAAAAUUAAAGUAUCUUUGAAACUGAAAGCAAACAGGAGCUUCCACGGGAGAGAAAACCAAAAGUGCAUUUAAAAAGUUACAGUCAUUGCGUAUCCAUUUGUCCAUCCGUUCCAAAUUCAGUAGUAGUUUCUUGCCAAAAAGCAAGAAAAAGCACCCAAAAAGAGGCAGGGCCGCACAGAGCUCUGCUGCCAAAGCACAAUGCCAGGCAGCGAGGAGGGGAGGCCGUGCUCCGCUGUCAUCCCCCGAGGGACGGCUGUGAAGGAAGGAAGCAGAUCACAGUGUGUGAAGUCUGAGAAGUGACAGCGUUUUGCACUCAAGGCAACUGCACGAGGUUACCUGAGGACAGUGUCUGGCUCUACUAGCUGAUUGCUUUGAGCCUUCAAAAAUCCAGUUAAUGGGGGCACCUCUGAAGCAAACCAGAUAUCCCUUUUACCGCGCAGUCCCUGUUGAGAAGAGUAUAAUUUUACAUUAAUUACACUGGAUAAGUAAGAAUUUGUUAUGUUCCAACUUGAUCCAGUAAAUUCCCAUUUAACCCAGUUGUCCCUAUUAAGUGUGUCAGCUCUCCUUUCAAAAGCUCCGCUAUGCAAAGACAAAUUAGUGUAUUAAUGUGAAAAUACGUACUUUAAGGCAACAAAAAUUAGGAAACCCUUAUCCUUUUUUUUCAGAAAGAAUUAUUUAUUAUGGAAUAUUACAACGAACUCUGAUUGCUUACAGUUGUUUAUAAAAAUCAAAUUUAUUUUUCUUCAUGCUUUUUAUUUUCUCACUUCUAAGCCUUAACAGAAUUCCACUUGUCACUUUCGUUUUCAUUAAUGUACUUUCAUUCUCUCUAAUGUACUUUCAUUUUGUUUAAAGUUGAUUUAAAGUUUCGUUUUCAGAUUCUCACGUAAAUAUUGAAAAAAAAUUGACCUGAAAGUACCUCCUAAGACUCAUCUAUUCUUUUCUGCUCUCCUUAAAUUAUAUAUAGUGUAUACUAGACAAUAGCCAGAUCUAAUUCUGAACUACUUUGUCAGUUGAAGUUAAAGCCUAGGGGAAAACCAUCAGUUUAUCUUGCACGUAGUUAGUACGUAACUCCAUUCAACCAAAGUUGAGUGUGUUUUCCAAGACCUUCCCAUUGGAGCACAGGUUCACUGUCAUCCUAUUGAUACCAAGGAGAACUGUCUGUCUUCUGCCUGUGGAUAAGUGAUGGGUCCUAAGUGGACGCCUAAAAGUUUUCCUGUUUUUAGGAGUAUUAACCAUCAAGUGGAUUUUAUGUGUUUAGAAUUUUCACAGGAAAGUCAGGCUUAAGGAAGAAUGGAGCAGUGGGGUUUUAGUGUUUUGUGUGUGUGUUUAUUUUUGAUCUUUCACACGCUAUUUGUUUUGUCAUCCCAUUUCACUUCUGUUAAAUGGUGUCUUGUGUGCAGAAGGUGGUCUCGGAGCUCAAAGAUCUCCUUACAGUUAGGCAGGUGGGUUUGGAGAGGAGAGUUAAAUAAUUUCUGAUGUGAAAUAACAAUCAAUUUGGGCAUAUGGCGCUUUGAGAUAUGUGUACAAUAAUCUCAGAUAUGUCUGGAUUGCUUAAGCUCAUUAUUCACUUGUUGCUCUUUAGCAUCUGAUACAUGGGAUACGCACAAAAUAAAUGCAUUUUAUUAAGAAUGUUUGAUAGCUCUGGUGCUGUUCAUGCUCAGAAUGUGAUAUUUUAGAGUGCAUGUUUGUAUACAAGGAAUUAUUGUUGCAUUUUAUCAUCCCAUGGUUUGAAUGUGUGGAAAAUGUUUUGCUGCAAUAUCACUGCAUCAUAUAAAACACACGUGGUAAUUCUAAAUGUAGUAGUGUCCAUGACAUGAUGUUAAUCGUCAGCCUUUGGCCCACCAGUUGUUUUCACUCUUGUAAGAAGUAACCAGACCCAAAGUGACUUUGAAAGGUGAUCCAUUUCUAUCCUAAUAUGGAUUUAAAUGGAAUAUUUCUCAUGCCGUUCAGUCCCAAGUGGGUCAUUUCUUCUUCUGCUGUUCCCUAUAAGCGUCUUCUUGUUUUGUAUUUCAGAACCUGGAUUUUCAUUUAGCAAUUAAUGUGGGUGAUUCAAGUCACUCCUUCUGUAUUUUAUUAAUUUUUGCCAAAUAUAGUAUUUCUCAGCCUACUAUUGAUUGAGCAGAAUGGGGCUUGCCUACACAAAAUUUCUUAGGAAAUACAAUUUGCACAUCCAGAUUUUUAACUACACCCACUCUCCCCAUUAUUGCAAGGUGUAAUCUAGUUGUAUGAUGCUGCCUGCACAGAUGCAUACCUUCUUUAAAAAUAGGUUAUGUGCCUAAAUCCUUGAGAGAGCUUGAAUACGGGAUUUUUCUAGGCCUUGGUGCUCACCGAAUAUUUAGCUCUUGUGGUUACCGUAACAGUUUUUGUGAAGGCUUUUCCGUGCUUUUAAAAGGUGCUUUUAGUAAUUAGUUUAAUCCUAAAGUGCAGCUGAGUUCUUUUGCAGCAAAAGCAACUACUAAUUUUAAAAGUAAUUUUAAAUUUACACGUAUCCAUUUUAACAGUACGUUUGACUUGAGUACUUCUUUUCCAGAAAUCUACCCUGGAGAAAAUGUUUUUAAUCAGGUUAAAAUGGAGGCAAGAUAGAAAAAAAAAUGUUUGCUGUGGCUUGACUGCAGCAGUGCUAAUGAGCUCUGCUCUAAUACAUGGAGGAACAUAUGGCCCCCAUCUGAAUACAAACUGGACACAAAGCAGUAAUUCAGCUGAGAUGUCCUGAAUAUUGUAAACUGGGUGAAUGUGGUUGAAGGUGUUUAUAAACGGUGGCUGAAUCCCACACACUGACUCACUGCCUUCUAAUGUCCGGGGCUCAAGGUGCUGUUUGUAAGAGUAUAGAAAAUGACCCGGAGAGGGAAUUCUUAAUUAAUGCUAACAAAAUAGCUAACUGAAGUGUUAUGUUAUGAAGAAAAGACUUCUUGUGCUCAUGACGCAGCAAGAGACGGAUUAUGGAGAGGGCGAGUUAGGAGAAGAAAAAUCACAGGACAAGCAAAUUGAGUAUUUACUGGCAAAUAAUUGCUCUCUUAAGCUGUGGCUCUCUUCCUAAAUUCUUGGCAUUCCUGAGCACUAGAACUGUGUUUUUAAAAAUGCAUCGUUACAGAGUAGAUGCAAAAAAACCCCUCAAAGGCUGAUAUUACAGGCUUGUGCAGGUAAGACUGUGUGUUACUGCCUAUAUUUCUUCUGAAGCUUUAGACUGACCGUUGCUUAUGGGCGGAAUACUGUUUUUUUCUGUGUCUAAGGAACUGAUAUUUUGCUUUCACAGCUAUAUUCCGUCUGAAAGUUAGGGAAAUGGAGAUAGUCCUCUGAGUUGUAGUGCAUGCUUUUGUGUCAGCUCAGAUAUGCCGAUGUACAUGAAAUCAAAACAAGCUUUUAGGAGUCCAAUUUUAUUUAGUUUAAUUGGGUUCUGGCUUUUCUAGAAGUGCCUCUACUUAAAAAAUCUAUACAGCAAUUGCGUGUGGGCAGAAACAUGCCUCGAUGUGCUUGCAUUUUGAUACGGUUUGAUUUCCACAAAGGAGGGCUUAGGAGAUUGUACAGUGACAGAACUUUUCCCAAAUAACUCUGAGUCUGCCCACAUCCAUAUGUAUUCCCUUGGUGUGGCUCCCCAAGGAAGUGAGAUUUCUGGAAACCCCUCUGUUUGCGUACCUGUCUCCGAUUCCUUUAAUCUUUUGAAUCUAGCUACUUUCAGCCAACUUUGAUGGGUAAAAGUGUCCAAGAUACCAAAGCUUCCACAUGUUUUGUGGAAGCGGGCAGCUCUUUAAAGGAGAAAAACUCUUUUAAUGACACCACUGAGGGAAAGACUGCCUCACCAUUUUACCCAAAAUUAUGCAUCAAAGACCCCACAUGGACAGAAAUCCAUAAGACAGCAGGUACUUUUGGCUACCUGAGAAUUGGCUCAACUUCACGGAGAAUUUGAUUUUUUUGUUUAUUCCACAUGUAAACUUCAUUUUGCAGUACUGAAAGGAUCUGUUAGCCUGUGGAGAUCUGUAGUUGGUUAAGAAUACUCUGUCUUAAAUGGCUCUUUUUCACAUCUUAAUCACCAAAUAACAAAACAGUAUCUUAGCAUUUUUGUCAUGCCUACAAACUGUUCUUCCUUUCUGCCCCCACUUCAUGAUGCACAUUAAAAGGAAUGGCCAAAAUCAUCUCACUUUCCACAAGUAAAUAAAAAUAAUGUGUACCCAUGAAGAGCAGAAAUGUAUUCUAUUUUACAGAGAUUGGAUUUUGGUUGUACCAGCCCUAUCGUAUGGGGUAUCCCAGCUGAACACGUGACUGAUGAGCUUUCAGACACCACUCUAGAAAGUCAUGCAGUAAGCAUUACAGAGCCCAGUAUCAGGUCCUUCAAGAACAAAUUGCUAAGUUCCUAGUGAUGAGUAAUAGUGAUUUAACCUUUCCCACGGUUGCGGUUUCUCCUUAGAAUGUAUCAAACUGAAGUUGGCUUAUGUCUUCAAACACAGGCAGUUUUCAGUCCUCAUACUUUAGUGUACCACAGUUGUGGAUAUUCUGUUUAUUGACUACUAUGCCAAUUAUUUCUGUAAUUAUGUUUAUCGUUAUUGUAAUUGUUCUUUAUUAUUGUUAUUAAUAUUAUGGCAAUAAUUAGUCCUUUUUAAACUCUCAAAACCUCUUGGCCCUUGUGAUGUCUUGGUGCAGAGUCCUGCAAGUUAAUUAUAUAGUAUGUGGAUAAAAAAUAAUAAUCCUUUUAUUGGUUUUAAUGUUCUGUCUUUUAGUUUUAAUGACUGUCCCCUCUUUUCUUGGGAGGUCAGAUUUAUUUUAUUUUCUCUGUGCAGUUACAUUUAUAUCCCAUCUCCUAUGUUCAGCCUUUUUCAUUUUCUCUGUCAGUUUGAAGCUAUCUAAAGUUUUUGCAUAUGGAAAGCUCUUGGGGGUUUUAAUGAAUCUUUUUACUCUCUGAACCCCUUUUGUUUCUUUUACAUGAUAUUUGAGGCAAGGUGAUAAGGGUUGACAGCAAAAUCCGGAGGGAUGGCAUAACACUAACUUAUAAACCUAUCAGCAUUUAUAGGUAUUCUUGAAAGAUUUUCCUUUGGAGCACCAGUCUGCAUGAGGUGCUGAGUGAUCCCCAAAAUUUCUGUUUCCUAUGUCUGAGCGCUGUGAACUCAUCAUGUGUUAUGAAAUGAAAGCAGUGUGAGUUGUUUCUUUAUCUCCAGUAUUAGGAAAGGCUAACUACAGAAUCCUGUGAAAAGUUUUUCAAAGUCAAAAGAGAGAUCUAUGGAGAAGGAUCAUUGUACCUUGUGUAUUGUAAACUGGAAGAAUUCCACAAGAUGGUGAUGGCUGACAUCAAAAGGAAGUACAGCUUGUUCUGUGGCUUCUAGACCAUCUGCAACUGACGUGGAAGAGAUGAGAGGAUGCCAAACAAUAGCACAAUUGUGAUAUAGUGGAAGUAUGAAUCAGGCAUUGGUCUACCCUUCCUGGAAAACACAGUCGAAGCCUGGGACUGUUCCUAGGAAGGCACGCAGAGUCUUCAUUUGUUUGAAAGAGAUAAAUUUCAGGCACUAAUUCAAGACCAGCAAUUGCAUUAAAAUGUCUGGAUCAAGCUUUUUCCAGUUUGGAUUGUCAAAUUUUAUCUUUUUAUUUCUGCAGAUAUAUAGAGGCAUGUUAUAGAAAUAUGUAUUAAGAAGUCCCUGAGUCCUAGGAGAACAUAUCAAGUUGACUCUGGCUAGAAGCAAGUGAGUUUUAUUCCCAUUCCUUUCAGUUCAUUCACCCCUUUUCCAUUCUCUUCUUGUCAUCUCCUGUCUUUCACCUGAUUUUUUUUUCCUUAUUAAAAAUUCUGAGUGACCUGGUACAUUUUAAUAUGAUAUAGGUGAUCAUAUUCAUCAUGAAGGUGAUAAAGCGUACUUCAAUGCCUUCUCGCUUGUCCAAGGGAUAACAUAGGUUUCAAAAAGCAGAUGGCUGACUAGAGAGCCCUGAGAUAUCACAGAGCUAACAGGUGCAGCUAUCAAUUCAGCUUCUGCAAUGCAAAGAAUUCAUAUUUCCCAUAAAAAUCAGAAAAAAAAAGGGGAAACAGUGAAAGAGUGAACUCAAAGACUCCAAAUACAUACAUUUGAAAAUUUUAUUAUGGUAGAUGAUGCAGGGACAGCAUUUGUAUGCCAAAAGUAGCAAUCCAUUGCUAAGGAAGUAAGCUUCAUGGCUAAAGCAGAGUGCUGAAAGGUAGAGACUGCACUGAAUUCUUGUGGUCAUUGAACAGCUGAGUAAUUUGCACAACACUCCUAAGGUCUGUUUCCCACACCAAAGCAAAGCUUUGUAUAGGAAAAGAUAAAAAAAGGAAAGGUGUAUUGCUGCUGAAAUGCUAGAUACUGAAGUGGCUCAAAAUGUGUUUCCAAAAUGCAUUUAGUGCAUCAAGAAAAACAACACGUAAAGGUCAUUAGGAGAAAUCACACUACUAACAGUACCUCUUUCUAGUCCUCUUCCCCCUUUCUUACAAGUUUAAUAUGGGAUUAUAAAAAAAUAUAGCCAGCAUACAAGUGGUUAAGGAGCCAUGUCCACACUUUUUCAGUUCUUUAUAUUUUGACAGUAGUGGGCUUCUAUGAGCUAUUGAUAACUUCAGAUGCAAUUUAAUUGCAUUUUUGUUCGUACUACCUUAAAACCCAGUUUGGAAUGAAAAUGGUUGAGGCAUCUAAAUAUGUCAUUACUAAUAUCAUUAAUAAGGUUGUUAGGCUUUAAUUUUGUGCUGCCCAACUGAAAUCUGUGGUGUGUGCUUACUGAAUCAGUGCCAUAGCACAGGACUGGGACUCCUUCAUUGUCACAGCUGGACCAGAGGACUUUGAAGUGGUGUUGCCUUUCCCUAGACAUCAGUAGAAUUAUCCUUGCAAAAGCAAGUAGUUUUUACAAGUUGACAAAAUGACUCUUACGUUACUGGUAGCGGAAAAGAUAAAGAUCUUAACUGCUGACUUUCUGGUAUAAGUACAAGAAAAUAAGGUCUUUUAAUUCACAGCAAAAUUAAGGUAACCAAGGGAAACCAAGAGGAUAACUAUUCAGAAUUUUAACUAGUAAUGAGAAAUUAGGAUAGGGCAAAUAAUGAACACGAUCCUUACUGCCCAGACACUGAAGUCUUUAAAUUUUAGAUUGCAGUGAAAGUGUUUCUAUAUUUGGUCUACUAGGAAAAAAAUCACCGUAAUUCCAAUCACAUUUCUAAAAGCUAUGAAUACAGGUAUGAGAGAGUAUUACAGAUAAAUUAUCCGAUUCAGAAGUUUUUCCUAGAGUUGCAAAAUCUGUUAUGUCAUAUUCACAGUUUUUCCAUAAAAAGACUUUUCCAUUAGUCAUCAGGUUGGAACAGCACUUAUAGAAGUUGGAAAAACAAGUCAUAAUACCUAUAAAACGUUUUGAAAAGUUAAAGUGAAAACUUCCUGAGCAGUUGAUAGAAAGGAAAGUAAUGGGGAGAUUUUUUUCUGCUUUUGUGUAAAAGGUGGGAGUUUUGACUGGAGAAUGCUAUAGCCAACUGCAAAUAUAUGAAACUGUUAGAGAAAAGAUUUCUCUCCUGUCCUAUUUUCAGACAAAUUACCUUCGUGGUCCUGGUCCUUUGGUUCCACACAAUUAUCAACUAAGCUGAAGGAGAUCUCCCUAUAGCUAAACAGAAGGAAUUUGAUUUUCUUACAUUUGUGCUGAAAAUAAGAAGGUCUGAAGAAUAGAUGGAGAGGUACAGCUUAAUACACAUGCACUAGCUGUCUGUACAGUAAGUACGCAGUGCUUUUGCUUAAACAUGGGUAUUUGGUACAACUUGAUACGCCUUCUGACCUCUUGCUGCUUUUCUCAGAAGCCAGGUAUCUCAGAAGUGGCCGGUCAUAUUUGCUAGCUGUGUCCAAAUAUGUUGAAGCUGUAAGGCUUUUGCAGUGGAACUUGAUAACUACGUUUAAGCAAAUGAUUUGAGCUCUAAAAAUAAAACUUUGCACAUUUGUAACCACCUCUGGCACAUAACUUAGUGAUGAUAAUGCUACCAUGGUUCAGGAGGAAUCCUUUUUCUAGCAGUUAUUAGAGGUGAGCAUACAGAUGAUAGAUGUAGACCAGAUGAUUUCAUUAAUGAUUACUUGAUUACACUGGUGAUCCUCUGGAAUUUUAGGUCAGCAUAUAGGCUGGGAUUUUUACCUAUAAAUAACCAUUCUGUGUGCAAUAUAUGCAGUGUGUGGGAUGGACAGUUAAGAAUAAUUAGUGUACAGUUUUAACUUAGCUGACACACUUAUGCUGAGUGAAUGAAUAUGACUUGAGUUCUCAGAUUGCCAUGCAUUCAUGCUUACUAUUAGUAGAAAAAAAAAUCUGUAAGUUAAAUUGUUGCAUUGUAACUUCUGUGUAACAGAUGUUUUUAAAAAGUGAGAAUUCAAGCCCAUGUUAUUGAAGUCUGUGCAAGUUAAGAAGAUGUAUUAAAUAUCUGCAGUUCAUUAAAUUCUCUAGCAUAAAGAAAAAAUACAUAUUAUCUGAAGUUACUCAAAGGAUUAUACUAUAUAUUUUAAAAUUCUAGGUAAUACGUAAUGCAUAUUGAUCUUGUCAUAAUUUUACAGGUGUCAUUAGUGGCAUUGUUUCUUUUUAGCUGAUAAUGCAAGGCUAUAUAUCAUGUCAGAUCAGUAAUUAUAUGAAGCCAUCAGUUUGGUUUUCUGAGCCCUUUUUUUAUUUUUGAAGAUACAAUCCUUAGUAGAAGCAAUGCUGUGAAGUAUGAAUCGUUUUCUUCUAUUUCCUGCAGUAGUACUCUUCUACAGCUAUUUUCUAUCAUGAAAAUAAGCAUAAUGACUUUCAGAAACUUUCUCCUCUGCCCUUAUUCCAGCAAACCUCCCAUUGACUUCUGUAAGUAGAGACCAAAUCAAGGGUUAGCAAGAUACUUCAGGAUUUUAUGCUCUAUUUAAAGGAACUUGGAAGGAUAGAUUUCUUUGGUGAUGAAAUCUGAGGAGCUCUUAAAUACUGCCAACUGUUUCUUAACCUUUUCCAGAAAGCAAGCUAUAGAUACUUUCUCAGAAACCUGUAUUUUGUUGAUGAUCAGGUCUGAAGGAUUUUGCUUUGUGAAACUUCACCUAGAACCGGACCUGGAGAAAAGAGAUUACCAGGAUCAGUUUGUUUAUUUUAUUCUCUGAUGUGUUAGUGUUCCAUACUGGACAGUUACAUUUGCUGCCUUUAAUACUUGUUUUCAUUUGGUCUACCUUGAUAAAGACAAAGUUUUAUGGUCUUUGCUUACACUGUGAAAUGUAUUUUGAUUGUACACAGUUUUCAGUGAAUUUGGUGAGGACUCUGUCCAUUAAUUUCAUGACUAAAUGAUUUAUUUUCUGUUCAAUAUUCAGGAGAGGAAAUAAGAAGACUGAGGUUCGCAUCCCCUGUUGUCCUUGGAUCAUGGUGUAGACUCUGGCCAACUAUUUCUGAUGCAGAGGGUUUAGUAACUUUGAUUAAUUCAUGAUCACAGAGUGCUUUGGGCUCCUGGGAUAAAAAGCAAAAUAGAAUUGCAAAGCGUUAUUAAUGGAAAGUAUGCUUGACAUGCUUAGUAUACUAUAUUAAAUAUCGUUUGGGGUUGAGUACAUUACAAGAGUGCGAGUAACUCAGCUGAAGGUAGUUAUGGUGAUGUCUCUAAUUGAGAGAAACAGAUUCUUAAUCAGUGUAUCACAAUUACAGCCUUCAUGGUAACUUCGUGGUUAGGUUUAUGGAUCAAUUUUAUUCAUCUGAAUAACAUAUGGCCUAGGAACUAGAUGCUGACAACAUCUUCUGAGUUUGGGGAACAUAUGCAGUUACUUCUGGUAUUGAUGUCUGGGAAUUUCUUUUCCUCUCUUAUCUGGACUUAACAAGCCUUCAGUUGCCAUUUAAUUUCAAAGAGCAACACCAUUCAAUGAAGCAUGUAUUCUCCCCUUCUCCUAGUCGUUGGUAGUAGAAAUUUCUGUUUCAUUAGGAACUCUGUAAAAUAUAAUGAAUUCUGGAUAUAUUUACACUGGGACAAAUCUUGCUUUGGCUUGUAGUAAUACAAGAUUUUCCACUGUGUCCCAAAGACAGGAUUCGGCAUUUUAGGGUCUGUUCCUAUGUUGUAGGAAGCAGUGAUGGAGCACUCUGUGAAAUCAUGGGUACGUUACAGCACCAACUUUUCUUCAGAGUAGCUCAGCUACAAAGCUCUCUUAGUGGAAUUUCAGUAUUUAUGCAUAAUGUGAGAACCAGAGGGAUGUGCACAUCUACAUUAAUAUUUUGCUUUGCUGGCAAUGGUUGCAGUUUUAAUGAAAGUGUCAUAAGACCUGGUGUUUUCCGUAAAAAAUCCACUCUUGAAGUAAACAGAUAAUGUCAAGAACCUCAGUUUUUGUUUGUAAAAGUUUCUAGUUCUCAUGAUUGGAAAGAAGACACUGAAUCAUGAUCAAAGCAUAACAGAGAGACUUAGAAAUGAGAAAAAAUAUAUAAAUAUAAAUAUAAAGCCUGGUACUUAUUAGAUUGCUUAAAAUUUUUUUAAAAACAUGUUUAGAAUUUUCAGGGGGGAAAUGGUGAAAGACGGAAGGGAAACAGUAUGAGAUCAGCAUUGGCGGAUCUCAUUUGCACUUCAUUUUGAGUUUGGUCUGAGAAAUAGUUUCAUGGUCUGAAUACCAGCUCUGAAAUUCCUUCAAGUUGAGUAUCAGCAGCAUAACCUGGAAUAAAAUUCACACCUUCACACCUCUAUAAAGAACUACAUUAGUGAGGUUUUAUUACAUAUUUUGCUAGCCAUUUAAACAAAGAUUGCUUAAACUAUGUACUGUCUGUGCCUGUGUCCAUUCACGGAAAUGUCUGUGUUACUUAUCAGUGUUUCUAUUAGUUGACCAAGAGGUGCACUCGUCGUUCAUUUGUGUGGUGUUUCUGCUUCUCUGCCUGUUUGCUUGGCUGGGUUUCCUUUUCUCUCCACGCUCACAAGUACUUGGGUAGUGAAAGUACUUUCACUAGUACUUGGGUACUAUUCCAAAAGCAUUAUUUUGUUACAUUGUGCUGGUUUAAUUCUUUAAAUUAAGACUGUAUGUAUUGGUACAAGGUAUCUACCCAUUCAGACUCUAGUUGUUAGGAUUGCUGUAGGAAUUACUGGAUGAAAAUCAGAGUCCUUUAUUGUAAGAGAACUGUACUGCAAGAUACUGAGGGUCUUCCGUGGCUUUGAAAGCAAUGAAAUAGCUUUCAAGAUUUAAAACAAGUGUUUAUGAAUAAUGUUUUUUUUCUCUCCGAAUUCCAUUACAAAAAUAACAAUAACAAUAAAACUGCAAAUAAAAUAGUUUGUUUGCCUAGGGAAUUGUUUAGUUUGUUAUUUGGAUUGUAGUGCUGCCCCAGUUCCCAAACAGAAUUAGGGUCUGUUUGUAGUAAAUGUUUGAGUAGAAAUUAAGAGAUUGCCCCUGCUUUAGAUCUUCAUAAUCUUCAUCAGAGAUUCAUACAAAUGAGAGGAGACAUUGCUAUAGGCAAAAUGUCAAAGGACAUUUUGGAGAUAAUCCUGUUGUAGAGAUGGGCCAAGCUAUUCCAAGGCAGAUUUGAAUCAUGCAGACUGUGGUAGGCACAGUACCUGUUCUGUGGAUGAAACAAAACAGUAUUAAGCGAGAUUCUUUCAUUUUUCCUUUUCCCUUUUCCUUUUUUUCCCUUCUCCUUUCUUCUUUCUCCUUUCCAGUUUUCCCUUUCUCCAUCCUUUCCUCUUUCCUGUUUCCCCUUUCUCCAUCCUUUCCCUCUUUUCCUCUUUCCUUUUCUUUUCAUUUUCCUUUCUCCUUCCCCUUUCCUUUUCCCCUUCCUUUCCCAUUCCAUUUCCUUCAUUCUUUCCUUCUUUCCUUUGGUUCUUUAUUUUUUAAAUGCUGAAGAUCUUAAAGAAUUCUGCUGAAAAAUUGACUGUCAGAGUGAAUAUUUCUGAUAUUCAGCUGACAGUUUUGCACUUAAAAAAAAAUUGUAAUGCUGUCAGUAAAAGGAUUUUUUGCAAAACAAAAAAAAACUCAUUCAGCUGCAAAUAGAUUGUAAUUGAAUUUUUCACACACACACACAUAUAUAUAUUUUAAUUAGCCUUUGUUGGGGAAAAAGUUGGAACCUAGUAAUAAUACCUGUGACUCACCGGUUUCUUUAACUGACAUGGCUUGAAAACUUGUUGAAAAGAACCUAAAAAUGCCUAUCAGUUUCUAAGGGCAAAUACAAGUCACCCACCAUACUCUUUUUCAAACUUUUGGCAUUCCUAUUGGAGACACCUAGAUCUAACCAGAAACAGUGCUUUCUGCAGCAGGCUACAGGUGGAGAUUAUGUCCAGAAUUUGAAGUCAGAUCCUAACUGUUCUGUAAGUUUUGUUUCUCUUACACGCGAUUUUUUCUGUUUCCUAAAUAGAACAGUUCCUUGCAGGAGAAAAUCCAAAGAGAGAUCCAGUUCUUUUCCCUGCCUUGCUUCCACCUGUAGAUAAUCUCCUGUGAGUAAAUUAGGGCCUAUGCCAGGAAUGCUGCUUCCCCAGCCAGCAGCAUAAGGAAAAUGUCUGGCUGUGCAGAGCCAGAUUUCCCAUCUCUGUGUUUAUUAAAGUUAGAAGGAGAAAUAAGAGCUUUGGAAACCUAAAAAAUAAAAUGAAAACAAACAAAUUAAAAAAUGCAUCAGCUGGCACUUGAUGCUAGAAAUUUUAUAUAAUGCUGACACAGAAAUGAGGUCUUCAGCUUAUGUUUUCAUCCAGUAAGUAUUAUAGCUCCCUGAAAACUCGAAACUCUUUAAACUUCAUUUGCUAGACCACCUUAGACCAGUUAUGAAGCUACUGUCUUUUUCCUAAAAUCAGGUGGAUGUUUUUGGACCCUGAGGGAUAACAGCGAAGCUACAGAGGAAAUAUACAGUCUGCCAGAUAGUUACGAUGCAGUUUAGGAUGAAGGGAGCUGUAUGCUAACAGAUCUUAAAUAAUAAUCUGCAUACUGCCACAGAAAGACACAGAAAAUUUAAAUCAAUCUGAAAUCCUUCCAGCUAAAAAUAAAAUAAAGGGAAUGGUGCAACUUGGUGAAUGUAUCUUGACCUCAUGCUAUUUUUACAAGUCAGACAGAUGUGCAGCCACUGAUAAGCUGGUACCCAGGACUAGCUAUCAAAUCAGAAAUCUGUGGACUCACUCUUCAAAUCCCAGCACUAAUCGCAAUGAUAAAGAGCUACCUUUCGAUUAAUCCUGCCCUGGACUUUAGACGAAAGAUACUGCAGUUUAAUUACUGAGCGAAAUCCACUUUGUCUGAUCUGCCAGUCUGCACUGUAAUGUCAUAAUAUAAUCAGCUUCACCCCUGUCUGAAGCUCCAGGGCUGUGAAGUCCAAGGACUUGUUUGAUUGGAAGAAAUAAAACGAUGUUCAAACAACCACCAGCCACAGUGCUGUAAUUAUCAAAAUCUUGUUUGCAUCUGUCUGUCAUUUUUGCCACUGUUUUUUUAUGACACUGAAAGGCAAGGAGAGAUUGUGGUGGAUAAGAACAGCGACCUGACAGAUGACAAAUAAGAUGUGGGAGGGUUUGCUUGGAGAAAAUAAUCAUUGUAAAAUAUUCAGGCUAAUUAAACUGGGUCUCUUUCUUAUAUAUUUCCCAUCGGCUUCAGUGACACAUGCAGGUUCAAGCAAAGCCAGCCAUUGGUACUGUCAUCUCAUAAUUAAAACCUGUAACUGAUCUGGGAGUGUCUCCAGCAGGGGUUCCAUUGAGGGGACAGAACAUGUCGGUGAGUGAGAAAUACAUUUUUACCCAUGUGAGAGCUGCAGCAGGGCUGCCAAUGUGUGCAGUGUCCCCUACCUCCAACAGCAGUGGGCACUGGCCAUGAUUUGAAGAGACCAUUUCUUCAGAUAGAGGAAUUGGUCCUGGCUGACUGGUAGGAAUCACCGAAUGAGUCUUGAACAGAUGUAGCUCUUGGCUCCCACAGCUCUAUGGGUCUGCAUAACAAGUUCCACUAGAAGCAAAGGGAGGGUUUAGGGUGCUUUUGCUCUCUUAGUGUCAUGCCUUUCGGUGUCUUUCUCCCCAACCUGCUUUGUUCAGAGUGCCUCCAAGGUGUGUCAGUAGCAAUGUCUUUUCAGUGGACCACACAGAAGUUCAUUACCUGCUUCAGACUUGUUUCACAGCACUGGCCAUAUACCAAUUGGGCAGCAGUAAUGUCCUGUUACCUCUAACCACAGCUGUACUGGGUCACUAAAAGAAGGUGAGAAGAUUUAAGUUUUCUAACACAUGCUUUGUUUGGAUAUCUUUGUGGUGAUUCAGGGAGGUUAUGACAGUGGUAUAGGAAGAAGCUGGCAAAGCUCUCAAAAAUAGUUUGCGUUCAUUUUAUUGCUAAGACAGAGAUGCUAAUGACCAGAGAAGGAAACAAAGCUUUCAUCUAGCUGCCCUUCAGGGAGGGCAUUCUAUCCUGUGCUGAUGAGGUAAAGUCUGACUGAUUUUCUUAGUGUCUUUUGACUGCUUAAGCUUUCUUCCCCCAGCCACCUUCAAGAACCUGAUAUAUCUCAACUUAUUUCUUAUUGUUCUACAUUCUUUGAUUUCUCUUUUAUAUCUGUCUUGGCUAUUUCUAGCUAGAUCUUCAUUUUCUCUCAUAAUGUAUUCCCUACAACCCAUGUCAUUUGAUUUGCAAUUAUUCUCUCUUCCACCCUUCUAGCAUGGAGAUCUCACCCUUUUACUCUUCUCCCAGCUCUACUCCCCUAAAAACACUUGCAAUUUCCAUCUCUAUCCAUCUGUUUCCAUAGAGUGAGCUACUUGACUAUCAGAAUGACAACUGCAGCUCGAUUAAGAUCCCUGUGCCACUUCCUCAUCAAAGGGCUGUCUUGUUCAGCACCUGUGACUAAAGAGGCCAAGCACAGGAUACCUCAAGGUAUUCUGGACUUAUAGCCUGUGGGUGGAUUUCUGUGCAAAGACCAGUUCUCUUCUGUACUGCAAAAUCAGAGCAGUGUCUUAGGGCAAAGACUGGGGAUGAGGAAGAAUAACAGACAGCGGUUGUUAGCUGUAUGUGUCUCUGUCUUAAACUUGCAAUGCAUUUACUUUCUUCCUCUUCCUUUUGUACCCUGUAGCUGACAGCGGUGCCUAGCAUCGCCUGUCAGCAGGGAUGGCAUACAGGGUGUUUUGCAAUGGAAAUCUGGCUUUAAACCUAACUGGGUUUGUCAUUAGUGUUUUAACUUCUGAAUAGUAUUUAAACAUUUCAGUCUAUGGACUGAGUUUCAGCAGGAUCUAUCCAGAAGAGGCUGUCUAGAGAAUCAUCUCUGAACCAGCUUUGACCAGCAGCAAUGACCCCAGUGCUCUAUUUGUACAGUACUUUUGCCCUCAGUCUAAUCCUUUACUUUAGAAAAAGAAAUGUCAGAAGGAAGAUGUGCACAGCUUCUUUUAAAUCUCAGGAGACUACUUUUCAGCAUGAAGGAGUCCAUCUACUUCCAAGGCCUUGCUAAUGCCAGCACACUGCACUGAUAUUCUUGCUUCCCAAGGGAAAAAUAGCAGGGGAACCUGAAAAAUAGUUGUAUGGGCAGUAACUACAGAAAUUAUUUCUUUUGCAAAUUAGAGGAUAGUGGAGAGCACAGGGUAGUGCAUAAUGGCACUUUAAAAGGAAGGAAGAAAUUAUUGUGUUUUGAUGAGAAUAUUCUUUCACAACUGGAGAAGGAUAUACGUGGGGGAGUGUAUGUAUAUAGUCAGGUGUUUGGUAUGCUUACAAGCAUGAAGAUGGGAAUUUUAACAUAUUGUCUGUCAUAUACUUUGGUGAGGUGUGUGAAGUUUUAUGUCUAUGAAACCAUACUGCAGCCUGGUUAAAACUUUGGGGCUUUUUGCAUAGAUAUGGCCUAGGUUAUGAGGGUAGCUUAGAGCUACCAACAUGUUAUUGCCAUUAGCACUUCUCAGAGUGCUGAGACUGCCAUUAGCACUUCUCAGAAGGCCUGACUUAGAGUAUUCCUUGCUGUAUACAUUGUUUGAGCCUCUUACCUGCUCUGGGAAAAUGAGUUUCUCUCCCUUUGCUCUCCAUCUCAGUGAUACUUGUAGGUCCCAGAUGUCUUAGAAUAAAUUCCCUGACAUCUUCCAAGAAACCAUGCUGCUAUUAGCUCUAGUACUGUGUGAAUUAAUGAGUGGGGUUUUUUGAUGUGCAAAAUCCAAGCAGUGAUGAUCUAUACUUAAAGGACAUAGCAGAGAUGGGAGACCAGGAGAAAUGGGAGAAGCAAGGAGAGGAGUAAUUUGAGGGUGGAUAGUAGAGAAAAAGGGGUAGACUCAUAUCCCAUCCUUCAUGGCCUAGUGAUGUCGUCAGUUCUGGUUCUUCAGUAUUUAUAUUCCUCAGCCCCCAAACCACUUGCUUAUCACAGAAAAAUAGAAUUGUUUGAGUUGGAAGGGACCUUUAAAGGUCAUCUGGUCCAUCUUCCCUGCAAUGAACAGGGACACCUACAGCUAGGUAAGAUUGCUCAGAGCCCCAUCUAGCCUGACCUUGAAUGCCUCCAGGGAUGGAGCAUCCAGCACCCUUUUGGGCAACCUCUGCCAGUGCUUCACUACCUUAUAACAAAAGACCUUUUCCUUAUACCCAGUCUAAAAGGCUUAUUCACAACCUUGUACUCAUAAGCCUUACCAUUUAGGAAUCCAUAUGCAUGUGGCUCACAAGAUCAUGUUUACGAGCACGUUUUCCCAGCUGAUCCUCAGUUCCAGCUACCCAAAUUCAUGUCCAGUUACCAAUAUAUCUUUUAUUCAUUCAGGAGCAUUUUAUUUCUGGAUAAAUGAAAGCAGAAUUUAAUUCAGAAAAAUGAUAAAUUUUGAAAAGAUUAGGUGAUGAAUUGAAAGAAUACAAAGUGCAAUCAGAUAUUGCUGGGCCCCAAAUGGCAUAAAAAACUUUAUUGAAAGUAGGGGAUAUUUGUAAAUAUCAGGAGCAAUUCCACUCAAAUAUGUGAAUCAAAUCUAACUCCUGGAGAACCAGGGGCAAGAGCUGGAUCUUAAGGCCACUCCUUGUCUGUGCAAGUUACUGGGAAAUAACUCAUUUUCUAAUUUAAAAUUGCAUCAUUGUGUUAUUGUUUUAGUUCUAGAGCUAUCGACAGGGUGUCAUUUCAUCACAAUAUCCUCUUUCUGCUUUACACAAAGACUUCGAUGAAGGGAAUUUUUUGUUCGCUUUUGAUGGCAGAGGUUGCCAUCUCUCCAGGGAGAGAUGCUGCUCAGAGAACAUAGGGAGGAGAGGAGCCACAUUCCCUGCUUAACAUACGGACCUGUGCAACAGCACAAGCUAGCUUCCCAUGAAGGCACUAAAGGGUUCCAUGACACAGUGGGGCCACCAGCUUUGGGAUUCACUAGAAAGCUCAUCUAGGUUCAUACUGCUUUCUAAAUGGAAGCUAAAGGGAGACUGAAUUUAAGCCCAUGACAUUCUGCAAGAGCAAGCAGAGAGUUAAUAUUUUUGGCCUUUGGUCCCUCCAAUGCUGCUAACAAUAUUUUAAGGGCAGAAGGACACUACUAAUUGUGAUGUAACUUGAAUGAUUUCAUCGCCCUACUCCUCUCACUCAGUUGGGACAUUCAUCAGCUUUCUGGUCACUGCUGACCUGGGAUGCCAGCAAUCUGGCAAUCCUAUAAAGCAGCUCAACCAACUUGGAGAUGAUUUAUCCACUCUGGUUCAUAUCUGUAGAUAUAUAUAUAUAUUUUAUCCGUGUAUGUGCGGAACACGCUCAUGCUUAUAAUUGUGUGGAGACUUUCAAUUUUGGUGUGCUUUAUAUGUAUAUAUACUUAACAAAAACAGAACAAAACCUGACUGAACUACAUCAUGUCAAAGAUGAGGAAAAAAUCUCAUUUUAACAUCUUGUUGCCAAUCCCCUAAUCUAUACAUUUUUCUCUAAGCCCACUGCUCUAGUAAAUAAUAAAAUAUCCUUUUGGGGAAUGUUAUCAGUGGUAGAAUCUUCCUCCCCUUUAGCAUGAAGAGCAGUUGAGAAACCAGAGGGGCAGCUUGCAUGGCUGCCAGAGCCUCAAUUGAAUUCAUCCACAGGUCUAAAGAGAUCAAAAUUGUUUGAAUUGAUCCUUUCUGUUGCUUCUGUGAAGAGAAAUCCCUUAAGCCUUUUGCUUUCUUGUCAUGUACAGUCUCCCUUUGUCAGUUCAUGUCCAAGGUCCCCGUUUUCAUUUUUUCUUAGGGAUAGCAGGAGCUCUAGCAAUAUCUGUCUUUAUAAUGUCUGCACUGAGAGAGUAAGAGACCGAGUGUGAGGCUGUGGGGAGAAGGAUAAAAUACACACGGUGAGCAUCUGACCCCUGAGAACCUUACACUGUCUCUGAGAACCGCAACCUUAUCAGGCAUCACAGUUGUGGCUUCUGUGGCAAAGGAUGACAACAAAAGCAACUUUGCCCACCACAAUUAUUAUUCAGAUUUGAGACCUGGGUUUUAAAACAAAUGCAUUUGGAGCAGAGAUGUGGAAAGAAAGAGAAACACGAGUGUUGCUUAUUGGGGGCCCUGCAGACAGAAAAUUAUUGUGUUUCUAACACUAUUGAUUUUGUGCAGCAGCUGAUAUUUCAAUCUGGGUGCAGCAUGUCUGAGAGUCUACGCACACUGUCAAGAAGAAAUAUGAUAGUGUCUUAAAAGAUUAAUAAUAUCGCUGGUCCUCAGGAGGCUUGUCUUAAUUCACUGGCCUGUUCCUUGGCAUGUACUGUAAUUUAUCUAGUCUGAUUUGAAUAGCAAAUGGCAAUCGGCUGCCAUUAGGGAAAUAGGCAUCAGUCUUAUUGAUCCAGGAUGGGCUGGAUUUUAUUUAAGGAGAGCUGCAAAAUGUUAUUAACUUCCGGAUGAGAGGCUGCAGGUGGAGAAUUUUUUUGCAGUGUUCCAAGGGAAGGAAAUUGCACUGAGUCUUGAAAGUCUUGAAAUAGAUAGGAAGAGGGGAGGAUGUGGGAAGUGGGGCAUCAACUGCUACCCAUUUGUUUCCAGAGAAACCCAUUAUUUCCAACACAAAUAUUUGUUUUUCAGGGCUCUUUGUAUGAUUUUGUCAGUGAGGGACUGAGUUAUCUAUGAGUGAAAGCAUUUGGUGAGAAGAAAGUGUGGUGGUUGAUAUUCCAUGUUGAUUGAGAUACAGCUGGAGCUGCGUAAAUGGUUUGUUUUCCAGUCCCCCUUACUGUGCUUAAUAAGAGCUACACAAUUAAUCUCCAGACAUCACGCGUAAUAUGUACUCCUUCUUACAGUCUGCUGUUUGUGUGUUUAGAGCUGCCACCAGUGCUACCUAAGGAGAGUGGCUGAUGUUACUGGGAGGGAGAUAUAACCCCACAGCUGUUGUUGAGGUUUGGUCAUGGUUUCCUGUUCAUACCAGUCCUUGUCUGAAAUAACUGUGAGGAAAAAAAGCCACCGUGUUUGGGUAAUCUUUCAGUGCUGCAAAUCUUCUAGGUAAUUUUUUCAGUGGAUGUUAUUGUUAAAUAUCAUGCUAGAGCCAUGAAUGUGAGGAAAGCAGAACUGGUGCAAUUCCAGACUCUAGAAAAAAAUAAAUUGUUUGGCAUGAUGAGGAUCCUGAAAACUAAGUUUAAAGAAGUAAAAUUGCACUGAAUACUUUGGAAAACUUCCAGUCUCAUGACAUGUCACAGUGAGAUAACCUCCCCAGGGAAGGGGAGAAUGCCCAGCUAUUUGACAUGCUUUGAAGUAAGACUAAGACGAACAUCAAAAAAAAAAAAAAAAAAAAAAAAUUAAAAAAAAAUAAAAGAAAGGAAUAUCCUAAAAGGAAUAAGGAAUACCCUUACUCAGGAGGGAGGAUGGAGGAAAUGAUUAAAUACCAUAGAUCUCUCCAACCUUAAUUGCUGUAAUUCUUUGAUACACCACACUCUCCCAGCAGGAAUCACCUGAAAGGAAGAUUCAGGAGUGCUGUCUAUUAAAAAGCUUAUAGAUACUUCAGUUCCAGCAGGAGGCACUUUAAGGAACAGUGGAGGAGUGUCGUGUGGAGGGACUUCAGACUGGUGUCCUGGGAGACCAGCACUCUGGGGAGUGGUGCAGGAAUGGCAGCUCCCAGCCCUUGUGCCAGGUUCUGCAGGAGGCACCAGGAAGGAAUCACUCUUUCAGGAGAUGGGAAGUACAUAAUGGAGAAAGGGUUGGGGUAGGGAGGAUGUCCACAGAUGGUCAGCGUUAGCUUUUGCCUUUCAGAAGCUUCUCGAGGCUCACAGGGCAAUCUCACAGCAUUUUCCACCAGCACUCACAACAAGGAGAAAAAGGUGUGGGAAUAUUUCAGAGAAUUAGCUUCUUGCUUCAUGCAUUUCUUUUGCACCUAAAAUAUGGGCAUAGGCAAUAAAGCACUACAGGAAAUGGCCAAGCACAAAAGCAAUAAAAUAAAUUGAAACUGACUGUGGUUUUUUUUUUUUUUUUUUUUUUUUGAGCAGCAGUAAUUGCUAUACAUUGUGAUGUUUGCAUAAGAAAUUAGUUAAUGUGUAGGAGAAUGACAUGUGAUACAUUUUAUUUGCCCGAUGACGGUAGUCUCUGAGUGAAUGACUUAUUAAGGUUAAUAAAAAAAAUUUUGCUUGUGACUUGUAAUAAUCCAAUUGCUAGAAUUUAACAUCCCCUCAUGCAUAGUUGCCUAAAGGAGGGAAACUAAAUUACACAUACGUUCUAAUGACCGACUGGCUAUGCUUUUAUUUAUUUCUUAAUGGCGAUUUGAGAACAAACAAUGUGUUCUAAAUUGUUGGUCUGUCUGUCUUUCUGCCUGCCUGGGCAGGAACGUUAUGGCUUUCUUAAUUCUCCUGUGUGAUUUAUCAUCUCCAAUUCAUUGUUUUGCAUAACUCUGCUCAAAAUGAAGAAAUGUCAUUAUUUUGCAGUGAAAAAGUUGUCAUUUGCAUAAUGCCUGCCAUUAAUUAUUGUGAGACUAAUGCAGUUGUUGAUAUUUUUAGGGCACAGUGGUACAUCCUGCACCUUGUAUAAUGUCAUUCUGAAAACAUUGGUAGUUAAUAGGUGCCACAACACUGCACAAGUGCAAGAAAAGAGGAGGCAAAAAAAAAAAAAAAGGAAGGGUAGAGAAUGGAACAGGCUGUGAUCUUUACUUAGCUUUUUCAUUUCCUGAAGUACAUGGUGGGAGACAGCUACAAACAGAAGCAAGAGAUAGGAAGCUGUGACCCCCAAGGGGAUGAGGGAAUGAAGAAAGUGAAAUGCUCCCUUCUACACGUUAGUUGAGAUGGACUAACUAAAACUGCCUCGUGCUGGUGAUCCCUGGAAUAUGAGAAAAUUCAUGGAGGUAGUUAGUGACUGUUAUCCCAUAUCUGGUGCUUUUCCCCCUCGGAGAAGCCUUCUGUUAUUUGUUUUAGUGGCUUAUUUAUUUUUACGUUGGAGUUAUUUUAUGAUUUCAUUUCAAACAUAUAAAGUGAAAAUCCCUGCAUAUACAUAACAAAUAUUAUUUUAUAAUGGCCUUUGCGUCUGUGAGGAGAGAACAAAACAAACAGAUCUGACCCCUAUUAACAAUUUAAUAAAUCUAGUUAUUGAAGUAUAGUUCUUGAUUUCAUCUUUGUGGAUGAAGUUCACUGCUAUUUGAAAGGGUCUCUUGAUGCCAGCCACCAGCAGCUGGAGAAAAAUAUCCCUUCCCAGUUAGAAUUGUACAUUGCCAGAGGAAAACAUCUUUUUCAUUACUUUUUCAUUGUAAAGUUAGCUGAUUUGGCCUACAGAUAUUGGAAGUGGGAAGAGAGAAGAGCAACAUUCUAGGGAUCUAUAAGUUCUGUACAUUGAGAACAUGAAGCUGGACUUUUUCCAGUGCUUUUCCCAAGAACUUCCAUUGCUCCUGAAGUACUUAAGAUGUCAUGUUUUCUGAAUAACGUGCAUAGUAAAUAUAAAUCAUAAUAAUCAAGUGAAGCAAACACUUGAGACACUUGAGUCUCAGGCUGGCAGAAGCUUUCCUACAUGUCUUGUUCAACUAGCACUGCUGCUGCAAGAUAGUUCAAAUGCAAUAGGCUUUCUUCUAUGCCUUUUUUUCCUUUUUGGCCCUUAAGCAGAGAAUGUUAGUGAGCAUGCUAAUGAAGAGAAGUUCGUUCAGAAGGCCUGUAUCAUCAUAACUAUGGCUUAGUGUAUAUUUAGCAGGAAAUAAAAAGCACUAGGAUCCUUCGCUAUUCUAUAAGAUUGCUAGGUCCUCUCUUUGUUUGCUGACGUGUCUUAAAAUGCCAGAAAGAGGAAAAAAUGGCGAUUUACUCCUCAGAUACUGCAUUUCACUGCCUCCAAAGGGAUGUUGUUUCUUCUCCCAUUUUCUGCUAUUAGAAUUAAAACAACAACAAAGAAAAUUAAACCACAAAAGUUCAAAUAAUGCUAAAGAGUCUAACUGAAUCCCACAAAGAGCAGGAAAUUCAUCUCCAAACAUUGCCAGUCUGUCCUCAGCUCACCCUAUUGUCACAGAGAACUGAAAGUUGUUCCUACAGUGGGUGAUCUUACCAACCACAAAUGCUGCAAUAUGUAGUCACAAUAGAAAACAAUAGAAGAACAGAGAUGGAGCUUUACUCUUGGUUUCUUGGCUUCAGUAAGCAUAAAAUGGACUCAUAGUGUACAUUAGGGUAGUUUUCUGUGUGUUUUAAUGUGCUUGGAGCACAAGUACAGUAUGAAGUGUAUUUCACAAGGUUGUAAUUCAUAGUCAUGAACUAAAUCCCAACAGUAAAUUGCAAUCUUUAACACUACAGAAAUAAUCCACGUGUCAGUUGUUAGUAUCUUAUACUCAUACAUACCACUGCCCAUGCUUUUUAGAAAAAUAUAAUAUAAAAUACCUCAUGUUGGUAAGAAUACUACAGAUAACCAAUCAGGAGGAGAAAUUUCUGCAAAACAUUAUAAAAACUAAGUACCAAAACUAAUAAUCUGAAUAUGUCCAAAGCCUUUGCAAAUCUAACAGCUUUUAACCCCUAGAGCAGCUUUUUCCACUUGGUCAGUGCCUGAUAUCCCUACCCUGUUGGAGAACUUCUCUGCUGUGGACAAACAGCAGGUCUGUUGGAAGAGCACGAAUCUUAAGAGUGCUUCUUCUGUAGGAUGAGUUCAAUAGUUGCUUGGCACUCUUUUGAAUGAGAAGAUCUAAAUUGCCUUCCUGUCUUUGAUAUACACUUCCUGUGUGGCCACAAAGAAGUCCCACCAUUUCUCUCAUAAUUUUCAUAAAUUAGGAAUUAUAAUCAUUCCAGACAUCUAAGGAUAGUGAGGAUUAAUUCAUGAAGAUUGUUGAGAUAUUCAGACAUUGUAGUGAUGAGUACCACAGAAAAGCCAGAAACAAAAAGCAUCUUAUUUCAUGAAAGACUUGGAUGCCACUCAGUAAACAAGGCUUGGGGCCACACACUGAACAGGGAGGAUAAAAAAAGAAUAUUUGAAUUAUUCUCAUUCCCUGGAUGCUAUCCAUUAUACAGAACACAAAAUGUAUAAUCGUAAUAUGUAAGACUGUACUGUAACAGUGCAGUUGUUGUGACAGACUUCAUCUUCAUAUUUUCUUACUUUUGAGUGCUUUUCUCUGUGACCUUAAUGUUUUAAGUUAGUUUUUAAAUGGUGUUUUUGGGUGUAUGAUGGGCAGUAGACUAACUGCAGAUCCUGGAGAAAUCAUUCCAUCAUCUGACUGUUGAAUACCCAUUAGAACCAAAGUAGCUAUCACUGGUGACUAAGGUAGAUGGUUUUUAACAGGAAUCAAUUCCACCAACUGGAUCACCAGCCAGCAAGGAAAACCUGCUGUAUCCAUAUCACAAGUUUCCCAAAAGAAUGCCUUGUUCUCUAAACAUUGCACUUACUGUUUCACUCUUAGGUCUUUGUUCUUAACAGAGAGUUUAGCUACCUGGGGAAGAUAUUAAUCAAUAUCCAGCGAGUUGACAAUGCGAUAGUAAAUCAUCACUUGCAACCCUAGUCCAUGUGCUCCAUAAAUUCAUUGUAAAGCCAGAAUCCCUGUGAUCUAUGUGUUAGCUAUCUUGAAGCUUAGCUGCUCUCUGAUAAAUUUGUCAGAUUGGUUCAUCCUGCUGUUUAGAAAGUGGCAGAAGAGCCUUCCAUUUCAUUGUGCAGAGUAAUGUGUUGUGCUUUUAGAUCUUUGUGUUUAAAAGCCCUGGUAGAUCUUACUGUUAAGAUUUUGUCCAAUUGUUUUUAGUAACCGUUUUUACUUUUGGCAUUGAACACAUCCCAUGCCAGUGAAUUCCACAAUUUAUUUACAUAUUGUGUGACAAAGCACUUGCUUUUGUUUGCCUUGAACCUAGUACUUGAGAACUUGUUUGGCUGCUUCCUAGAAAUAUGUAAUUAGAAUUUGGGAGCAGUUAUUAACUGUUCACCUUGUUCUUGUUUGUCAUGAUUUUAUAAAUCUCCUCUAUAUUUUCCUACAUAAUUUAUUUUCCAGGGCAAAGAACCCAACUCUUUUUCAUCUUUGUUUGUGCAGAAGUUUUCAAAAAAAUGUUUUGAACAUUUUUGCACUUUUCUCCAUUAUUUUAGGCUGCUUACAUCCUGUUUUGCAGUAGAAAUUCAAGCCUACAUAUAGUAUUCAGUAUGUGAAUCUAUUAUGGAUUUAUUUGAAGGGCGUAAUUAUCAAUUAAGUUUUAUUUUCUAUUUCUGUCUUAAUAUUUCCCAGCCUUAUCCUAAACCUUUACGAUCAACGCUGAGCAUUGAGCUGGUGCUUUCAUAGGCAUAUCCACAAGGAUUCCCUACUAUCUUUCCUAUGUAGUACCAGCUAAUUUGGAUUCUAUUGUGUUGCAUGAAUAUGUGGGGUCAUUUUCCGCACAGACAUUACUGUGCAUUAUUGAUAUUAAUUUUCAUUUUUCCCUUUGUUGUGUAGUUUCUAGGUGAUACCAGGUCUUUUUACAACAUUUCAGUUUUAGCUUUUGCCGUAUUUUUUUGUAUGAAGUGCAAAGUUUGUUGUGUCAGUAGUCCUGGUCUUUCCCCAGUCGUUUAAGAGCACGUUGAACACCACAGGUCUUAAUGCAAACUGUUGUGGGACUCUGAUAGUAGUUGUCUUCCAUUGCAAGAACUGAAUGUUUAUUGCUUCUAUUUGUUGUGCAUCUUUGAGACAGUUAUUAAUCUGUGAGGCUCUUUUCUCCUAUGUCAUGGUAACUCUCUUUUAGAGCCUUUUGUGAGGCUUUUCAAUUGUUUUUGCUUUUCUUUUUUUUUUAGCAAAUACCACUACUUGAAUCUCUUGCAGAUGUGCCUAUUGAGUCCUCAUGAAAACUCUGUAGAUUUGUGAAACAGGACUUCUUUCUGCAAAAAACUUAUGUUGUAUCUUCCCCCUUUUUUUUUUCUGCCCAAAUGUGUGUUAUUUAUUAUGUUUUCUACUGUUUCUAUGCUGUAGUUUAUAGACCUUCUGAACUAUGUGGGUCUUCCUAAAACCCUUUUUUAAGAUAGGCAUUAAAUCACCUUCUAUUCUUUUAGUGCCCACCCCAAUUAUGUGCAAGAGUUACGAGUUAAGUUCUUUCGUGUAUGACUUUCUUUAUAUCUGUUAGACUGGAACCAUUUUUUUCUUUCUGUUCCAUAUUUUCUCAGACUUUUCCUUUCAGAGAAAGGUUUUCACUUGCAAGCCUUUAUAAACUUUUCUGUAAUAAACACAAGUCCAACAAAUUUGAGCUUCUGUUCUGAGAACAUUUUUUUCACCUCAUUGUUGGCCUUACAGAUUCUGUGCAGGGCAUUUGGGAAAGUUGUUAAUGGUAUCUUCAGUAUUUUCUUGGGCCUACGUUAUUCUACAAAAGCUUUAUUAAAAAAUAAUAAUUUUAAAAAACACUCUUUAUUCAUUAAAUAUUACUUCUCCUCUUUGGAUGGUGUCUUUUUACUUCUAAUAAACCCUUUCAUUAGACUAAUUUAAAAAAAAAAAUUCCUAUUAGAGAUGUUCUUUCACAGGUGAUUAUGUAUUUGUUUUGUGAGUUUGAAGUAAUGACUGUAAAUGCUUUACCAUAGGGCAACUUUAAAAGUUCCUGCAUCUAAAGAUGUAUCAUGAUUCUCUCCUGGAGAUUUUUGCCCCCUUGCAAUGUAUUUUCAUCACAAGUGGCAAUCGAAUUAUGACAGUUUACAGCCUUGCAUAGUCAGGUAAAUCAAAAUGGUUUCUGGAUUUCUUUAGUACCUCAGGCUGUAAUUUGUUGUGCCUGCCAGACAAACUGCUGAGAUGUUCCUCAAACUGAUUGAGGCAGACAACUGGGGGUCAGGAUUAUUACAGCUAUUCUAAGGUAAGGCUUUCCUGUUACAUGUAAAAGACCUGAAUCUCGGGUAACACAUCUUUUGACAGUAACAUCUUAAAGCAUUUUUCUCCUAACUUCUUUUUAUUUUCCUUUUCACUACAUUCCUUACUUUAAAUGGAUUUUUUUUUUUCUGAAAUUACAUAUUGCCACAGUGGAUUUUGCUGUUAUUUUUUCAGUCCUAUAGAUAACUGAUUUUACUUGCAUUAUGACCAUAAUUGCAAGAUGGUUCUUUAAUAUGGAAAUUAAAGUAGGUUUAGUGUUCUUAGCACUGAAUUAAACUUGUUCCUUCUUUCAUAGGUUUUCUAACUAGCUGCUGCUUCUCAAAUCGUCCUUUUUACAUUUCAUGGUCACUGUCAACAUUUGGUGUAAUGUUGCAUAGUAAGAUUCUAACCCCUUCUUUUUUCUUUUUGGGCAUGGAAUUAAAAAACAAAGGAAUUUCUUUUUUCCUUUCUGUUUUAUUUAUAUACACUUUCUUUAAUUCAUAGCACCUGCACCUUAGCUGUGCAUUUUACUCAGUCAUUAUUACAAAGUGCAACGCACAAUGUCUGGAGCAUUACAAUCUCUCACAUAUUCUUUUUAAGCCUACUACAGUCGGAACCACUCAUCAUUUGUAAGAUCCCUCCCAUUUAAUGGAAUCUUCAGCUAGACUCCUUCUCCCUUGAAAGGAGAUCAACUGUAAAAAAGAGUCUAACACAAUAUCUGACUUGCUAGCAUCCUAUUCAGUCAGUCACUUACUCAAGCUAAUGUACUGCUGGAAUCAGAAACUGUCAGAUAGUGCUCAAGAAAUGUUUUUACAUUUGUUUUACAUAUUGGUUGACACACUUUCCUGUCUUUUGGCUUGUCAAGAGUCCUGUGUCCCUCAGCUCUGGGGAUACAUCUACCCCAGAGGAUGUACAAGACCUGGAAGCUCUCCCAGUAAUACAUUGUAAAAGAUGUUUUAAAUGGUUUUCAGAGUACAUCAGAAUCACAAUUAUCUGAAGAACAUGGGAAGAACACUGAAUAGAGCUCGAUAAUCGCGUUUACGAGUAACCAAAAUGCCCUGCAUGCCCAUAGAUCUGUGGAAAUAAUUAGUAAUAGAAGCAAUUUACCAUUUAAUUAAUAAAUGACAAGGGGCAAAACCUUGUCUGGGUUCACUGAAUUUGGAUAAUUGAAGCUCCACUGUAUUUUAGAAUCUGAAAUAUUAACCAUUAUUCUGUGUGCUUGAGAUAAUAAUCAUUUAAAAAAUGUGCAAAUAACAGAAUCUAAGUCUAGUUGUACUGUUUCUACAAAGAGUAAGAAUGUCGUAUAAUGCCCUGCAUGCGGGAAAAGUUUGUUGUAUUUGAUUGUUUUUCAAAGUGUCCGGAGUCUGUUUCCCUUAAUGUAUAGAUCUGUGUGAGCUUUGAACCUUUAACUACAUUACAGUGCCAGUGAAGGAUUUCACAGGGCAGUGAAUAACCUCUCACUGAAAGAAGAACGGGUGCAGCAGAACAUCUUGAAACUGGUUCUUAUUUCAGCAGCCCACAAAGCAAGAUUGAUGGAGAUAAAAUUUUGAGAUUGAUGGAGAUGAAUUUUUUUUAAUGAAAUAAGAAUGAGGUAAUAAUUGUGCUCUGUUAGAAAUAUCCAUUCAGAAUGUGCUGUAGCAAGUGGAAGGCUGGGACUGAAGAAAGACAGUCUUGGGCUAUAGUAUAUUCCAAUGGCCUUAACUGUCAUAAACCACUGGUUUGCUACCAAAUACAAGUCAUUGGAAAAGAGUUACAGACUUCUGCUUUCCUCUGCUUUGCCGGUGUCUCUUGCCACCUCACAUGUUUAGUAGCACCUAACUCUGAAGCGUUGUAGCAGUAUGGCUGAAGAACAAGGAUAGAACACCUAAAAGGCAGUAGCUUUAGUAUCAUUCUCAAGCUAUUAAAAUAGCUUUCCUUCUCUCCCUCAUAUUGUUUGUUGUAUUCUAUAUUUUUUAUCUCUCAAGUCUUCUUAAUUCUGGCAUCAUCCAGAGAUAUACUGGACAAGAAAAUAGGUGUGGCCAAAAAUGAGACCUCACAUUUCAAUCUGAAAGUAAGAACAAUGGGUUGAGUCUAAUCUGCAGUUGAGCUAUCUAUUGCUAGUAACCUGUUGCUGGAAACACUCUUUUGUACUCCGAAGACUUACCUUGAUUCAGUUCAGUUUGUACUAUCCUUUUCAAAUAUAUGAUAAUUGUCUGAGAGUAGGCAGUCCUUGCAGAAGCUUAAUCCCAACCCCACCUUGGUGUUUCAUUCACAAGGAAUUGGAGGAAUGUGCAAUUAAACUGCUAUGAAGUCCUAGCUGUGUAGGUUCUGUCUGCUGCUUCCAAAGAGGUAAAAAGAAAAUUGGUCAUUUCAUUCAAGUUUUUAUUGUGCUUGUGUCAGAAGUGCUGCAGAAUUUAGCAUGUACAGAGAUCUCUGCUUUUCAAGGGAUCCAUUAAUGGAAAAACUGGGAGUUUGUUGCAUCAGAAAUGUUGAGUUGGCAGCAUUCAUGGUGGUAAGGGAAGCUUGCUUAUGCAAUGAGCCACAUCCUGCUCUCCUAACUCUGUGAGUAACUCUAUUGAAGUCAAUGGUAAUUACAUCUAUUAAAAUCAGUGGAACUAUUUGCAUCAAUAAGAUAAGUAGGAUUUGGCCCAAAGGUUGUUUAAUAUCAAUGUUUUUAAUCUCUCAUUUUCAUAAAUGCUAUAUUCAUUCAGCAAUAUAAAGUGAGGUGAAUAAAGAACAUUCUGUGCUUUGAAUAGUUUGGCAUCAUAUGCAGACAGGGCAUGUGAUUAAUACCAUAUUGUUGGCUUUGUUCUUUGCUUUUCAGUUGUGGCUGGCAACGUCCUUUUCCUAACUGCUGGUAUCCCCAUGAGCCUAUAUAAUCACUCUCUACCAGUUUUCUACGAUGCCCUUAGAUAUUUUCUGUACUCAAUGCAACAUGUUUCUUUAUUCACUUAUCCUCCCAUCAGAACCUUCAAAUGUUUCUGAUGUACUACUCUGACAUGGUCAGACCUGACAAGGGACAAUGUGUUCACCUGACAAAGUUUCCAACCCAAACACUUUAUCUGUGUUUUCAUGGACACAACCAUCACACUACAAAGUCACGCUUUGUGGUUGUGUCUCUGGGAAAAUCUGCAGAACUGCAGCACACUGCUUCAGUUGGCAGUGUUAGAUAGGAAAUUGUGCUUGCAUUUGAGAUAGUGUACUUUACUUGGCUACCUGAGGCAGAAUUAGAGGUAAAUGAUAAAAAAUCCUGUUCUCUUCAUAGAUGUACAAGGAUAGAUGCUUUGUUGGAAACUGACAGUCUUGAUACCUUCUCCUGAAAAUGGCCAAUUUACGAUGCUAAUACUAAAGUAAAAUUUUGAUUCAUGUAGAAAUGUGACCCAGGAAUCAGAUCACUGAAGUUACCUUCUGGUUUCAGUGUUGUUAAAAUUACAUAAUUAAAGAUACAAGCCUAUUGAAAAGAAAAAAAUCAAAAAAGUUCAGUAGGUAACGUGUAGUCUGUUUCUUUUCCUCCAGUGAACUUCCUGAUAGUAUUUAACUUCUUGGAUGGCCAUUUAUUGUUACCAGGAAACUCCUUUUGUAAGGCAGACCAUAAGGACUGGUGGUUGUCUGUGCUAUUUAGCAUGUGUCAGUGAAGUGAAAGCCAUACCACAGUCAGAAAAGAUUCAUUAAUGUGCCAUGAAAUUCUGCACUGCCUUUUCACAAGAGAUUUCUGUUUUGUUAUGUUCUCACUUAUGUGACAUUCAAGACCAGAUUCUGCUUUCAAAGAGAUUUGAGGUCAUUUGAAUGACAUUAAAGGAUUUUUACUGAUUUAACAGCAGAAUACAUAAUUUAUGACUACAUAUGAAGUCAGAAAUACUGUCAAUAUUAUAAUUGUUACAUAGGUAAAACCUGCAUGCAUUCAUAGUAAUAAUCCAUUUAUUUAUUAGUGUUAAGUUUUCAAAGGAAACUAGAAAAUCCCCCUACAUAUGUAUACUCCAUGGGAGACUCAGUGGAAUUUCCUAUAAUUUGUAAAAAAUCUGACAGGGUUCAGCUCCCUACGUAUACUGCAGGAGUUGAAGGUCCAUAUGUCACUAUGGGUGCAAUCUAGUCUGUUUUCCUGGAUGUCUGAGAUAUCUGCAGGUACUGUGCAGGCAGGGAAGAUAAGGUUUGGAUCAGGAGCUGGGGGAUGUGAUGGAUUCAUCCUUGUGAAGACAGAAUACUCAAGUCUUUGCACAAUGAGGUAUUACAUGAGUUUACAGGUGCUAUAAGUAGUAGCUUCUUAGCAAGUUGUAUCUUGCACUGUUUAUUCAGCUACACUUAUGUUCAUGAUAUACUUCAUAAACAGUUUAUAAAAGCUAAUAUAUGAUCUAUCAAUAUUCUAAGAAUAUUUCUAUAUGGUUAGUACAUAUUAUACAUUUUGUAAGCACAUCACAGAUGGAUCUAUAGGCUACAAACAUCAAUUAGUUUGUUAAACUCAGUCCUUUUUAAAAGUUAGUAAGCUAUUUGUUGAAUCUUUCAUUGAUUACCUUCUAGUCAUGGUAGCAGUAUGAUCACCUGGCCAUGUAAGAAAUUUAAAGGUUCUGAGCUGAGAGUAGAAGAUGGGCAAUUCAAUGCAAAUUCUUCUUAACAAAGAAUUGGACAGAAAUAAUGAAAACUCUUACGAAUUACACUGUUAUUCAAACAUUUCUUCUAAUCAAUUGUUGUAGAGCAUGUCUUUUAGCAAUCAUAUCCAAAAAGAUUCUCACUUGUAUUUACCUGGAGAAAUCUCAAGAAGGCAAAUUAAUUUUAAUCCUGAACAGAUGAAAAUUCAGUAGCACUGAAUUCUAGUUAAAAGCCUGGAAAGAUUGUUAUGCCUGAGAAGACUGUCUUUCAAAAUAAGCAUCUUAUAGACUGGUGAGAAUCCAAAGGGUUCUGAUUCUGUUACAUUUACCCAUUAAUAGUUUUCCCCAUAUUUCUGAAAUUGGAUUUGUGAUCUCAGAAAUAUGAGAACCAAAGGUCAUUAGUGAGAAAUGAAACUGGGUUUUCUUGUGUUCCUGUCCAUUGCUUUGUCAUCCAUAACUAGUUUUAAUUCAAAUUAAAUUCUAGGUAGCUCUAUAUGCAACCAAUUGAAGCCAUCUAGAUUUAGGUUUUCUAGCUAAGAUUUCUAGUUUCUAGGCUUUGAAGCCUGAACAGAAUGACUAUUGCUUCAUUUCUUUCUGUGCUGAAAUUACUCUGACUUUACUGUGACUUUCUCUAGUUGUUGGAUUUUGGAUUUUGUUUGUUUGUGUUGUGUGUUUUUUUUUUUUUAAUACCAAACAAAGGGAAAGAAUGAAACAAUAUUUAAGAAUUUUAUUUCUAUUUUAUUUUAGCUUGUAAAUAACCACAUUUCAGAAUUUAGAAUGAGGGUAGGUAAAAGAACCUUCAUAUUAUUAAUUAAUUAAUUAUUAUUAAUGAUAUAAGUCAGUUGGGUAGGAUCCCUUCAUUCAUGCAUUAGUUUCAGAAGAGUCUGUUAGCCUAGAAAAAUGUAUAUGGUUGAAUGGCACAGAAGAUCAUUAUUUCUUUCCCAGAUUUAUUUCCACUAGAUGGAUGAAGGAGUGGUUAGGCUUUGUUGAAAUGCAGAAUGAAGAUUAGAUUUCAGUAAUGUUGAGGAAGGUGACAUGUCAAGAUAGGAAGAACUGAUCAUGUAUAUCUCAUGGUAACCCAACUAUCUGUCUCCAGCAGUUUUCAUAAACAAAGUACAUGAUAAAGGGUGUGACUUUAAUUCCUCACAGUAUGUUUUUGUGCAUACUGAAUCUUCUACCUGUUAAUUUUACAGGACUUAAAGGCAAGCUUUUUUUGUCUGAGCAAGACCAAGUCAAAUAAAGCUGUACAUGGGGAAAUAUUUCAGUACGUUUUGACGUAACUCCUAAAUUAAUAUCUGAUAACAAAAUUUGAUAGAACUGUUGAGGUUGGAAGGGAUCAUUGCUGAUUAUUUAUUCUAGUUCUCCUGCUCGAAGCAGCAUCACAAAGAUCACGUUGCUCAGUGCUUGUCUAAAUAUGUUCUGAAUAUCUCUGAGGAUGGAGACUCCACAGUCUCUUUGAGCAGCUGUCCAGUAUUUGACUAUCCUAACAGUCAAAAGCUUUUUCUUGUAUUCAAAGCAAAUUUCUUGCAUUUCAAUUUGUGUCUGUCUUCUGUUGUCCCUUCUCUGGGGAGCAUGGAGAAGAGCCUUGCUUUCCGUUUCCCACAUCAGGUUUUUUCUACAUGAGUAUGGUUCCCUUUCAGUCUUUAAGAUAAUUCCUCAAGAUUAUUAUCCACAAAAUCCUUUCUCCGUGUUUUUUCAGUGCUUAUUGCAGGGACAAAGAUACUUUUUCAUCAUUGUGAAAGGAGCAAGUGAUUUGUAACAUUUCUCCAGGUAAGCUGAGAUGAUCAUUUUAAGUUAAUAGUGAUAUAAUUAGUUUCCUAAGGUUUUUGCUAGCAUUCCAUUUGUUGAUGUCUUUCAUUAUUUUUGUGAAGAUGAUCCACGGAGCUAAACAUUUAUUUUUCCUUUUAUUUCAAGAACCUUUUUCUGCUGGUUUCCAAAGAGGAAUAAGGCUGUUUUCUGUGUUCAAAGAAUCACAGAAAUAUUUGAACGUAAUAAAAAACCUAGAAGCUCCUGAAAAGAUACAUCAAACUCAGUGCUAAAGCCCUGUAGCAUUGCCAUUUGGGAAGGCCCUUUAUAAAAUUUUGAAAUUCAUCUGUUGAUAUUUCAGUUUCAAGGGCUUAUUUUGCCCUUAAAUCAUUUGUAGUAUGUGGGGGUUUGAAAAAGAAAGAAGGAACUCUGUGCUGUGCUAAGCCAGGGAGGCAUUCCUGCAGCCUUCAAAUUUUAGAACAACUUUAAAGUUUUUCUUACUGAAUUUUCUAAGUCACAGUUCUACUCUUCUGCAGUGGUUAUGGGUUAAAUUGUUGAGAUAUUGUUGUAAUGGCACAUUUCAGAAAGCAUGCUGCCUACUCUUUUUCCAUCUUUUAUUUGGUGUUGGCUGUAUAGGAGAUCUUCUUUUGUGCAGAGAGAUGAUAAUGGUACCAGUUUGUAGUUGUAUAUCUUCCAUUUCAGUUUUUGUUUGUUAGAAAGCGCUAUUGAUUAGUUGUUGUCGAUGAGCUUUCAGCCUCUUCUAAGAUGAGUCUCUCGUCAGACUUGGUCGGUUUGCAGUAUGCAUGUCAUUCUUUGAGUUUGUCCCACAGGACAAAAUAAUUCAAUUUUAUAGCUUUCCUUACUGUUUGCCCAUUGAGAAAUCAAACAAUUAUUUUCUUUUCUUAAUCUUCAGAUAAGCAUUGAUGGUCUCUGAAAUUCUGAUUCUACUUGUUAGCGCAUGGCUUAUGUGUCUUGCUUCAAGUCUCAACAUGUUUAGGGCAGCUUCAGCUUUGUUGAGAUUAGUCAGGAAACAUGUAUUUACCACUUUGUCUUAGGUGGUUUCAGACAUCAACUAAAGCUUAGUAUGUGCAUAGAUUUUACACUAAAUAAUUGUUCUUAUUAAAUAGAUUGAUGUUUUUAAUGGAGUAAUUAUACUAGAUCAACUUCAUGCAUGGAUAUAGUUAUACUAAUAUAAGAUUGAGUUAUACACCCAUGCAGUUGCAAGAGCAUAAAACAACAUGACUGUUUUCUUGAGGCAAGGAUAGGGCUUAAGUUUUUAAAUUUUAAUUUAUUUGAAAGUAAAGGGUUACUUUAUCUAGUUUGAAUUUUAACAUACCAUUAAAUCUUCUCCAAGAAAUUAUGCAGUAUAUUAGUAAAUCUAAUAGAAGGAGUCCUAAGAAGGGAUAGAUGUAUGUCAGAUAUUAAGAUAGUUCGGCAGACAAUGUGCCAAGAAUUGAGAGGUAUUUAUGUGUUCACAUAACUGUUUCCUUCAAGCAGUAUAAGAUGUAUUAGGUGUUUGUCCCAGCAUAUAUUUUCUCAGUGCAUUGUACAUGGAGGAAGGUAGAUGCAUUUCUUCUACUCUGGUGACAUUCGCUCUCUUUGUCACAAGAAGGAGGGAUUUUGCAUUAAACAGAUCCCUUUUAUGUUCUACCUACAGAAUUUCAAAGAAUGCUGAACAAAUGAGGUAGGAGUAUAUACUUUUGUGCAUCAAAGAAAUGCUUAAGAAGUUUCUUAUAUGUCUAAAGGCACAAUGUAGGGCACAGUUUCUCAAAGAGAAACUAUAUUCUGUAAUCAGUAUGUUGUUACCUCAAUAAUUAAAUAAUACUUUUCACUUUGGAGAUGCUCUUAAACAUGCUAAAACUAUAAAAUAUCCUGCUGAGAAAUAAAAAUGAAUGGACACUGUCAAGAAUAGCAUAAAUGUAGACUCAUUACAGUCAUCACAAGGCUUACUUUUAGCAGUAUGUUAGUAUUUUCUUAAUAGACCCUUCCAGAUUGAGGGAGCCCAGAUAAUACAUAGGUUAACCUAAAAUUCUUUGUUUUCUUUUUCAAAUUGGUAUUUUAUUUCUAGAUACAUAAACUUUUCAAGUACUGUUGAUCUCAUGUUACUCCGUAUGUUGUGCAAUUAAAAAAUUAGCAAGCUAAAAGGAUGAAUGAUUUUUUUUAAAAAAAAAUUAAAAUAGUUGUAUCAGUCAUCAGUGGAUAAGAAGUAACCUUAACAGUGAAGAAAAUAUGAACAGAAUUUUGUUCAAUUGCUGCAGUUGAGUAUACUGAUAAAAAAAUGGGAAUAUGAAGACCAAAAGUAAAUCAAGUGAUGAUGUGUGGAAUAAUUGUCUGCAUAGAAAAUAUAUAUGCGUUAUAUUUAAAUGCCUUCUUGUCUGUAGAUUAUCUUAAAGCCUCUUCAGUUGGACCAUCAAAUAGCAAUUAAGCAUCAAAUUCAUACAGGUCCAGUUUCUCAGGAUGUUGAAGUGAAUGAAAGAGCAACUAUCCAGAAAUCUUUUAUUUCGGAAGUAGUAUUUCUGUUUUAGAUAGCCAACACAAUCUUGGCAUAAAAGGUCUUUAUAAGAGUGUUUUUUUUCUUCUUGAUUGUGAGUUAAAGGAUAUUUUAGAACUUCUCUGUG